rnacentral:lncRNA from 1 species
CCAAAUUCAACUAAAUACAUACACAUUAGUCAAUUGUACAAAUCAAUGGACAAAGUUAUAAACAUAAUACAUAGGAAAAAACUUUUGCUUCAAUUUACACCCAAAGAAAACACAAAAUAUAUAAAAACAAUCAAAAAUCAAACCAAUUAUAUAGAAAAUACAUCUCAAUUGAAGCUGUCACAGGAACAGCCCCUAACACCCUUGUCUUCUACGUUUCCUGUUAAUAAGCCUCCAUAUUUCCUUUCAUCCUACAUCGACAAGAAUACUCUUGUUCUUGACUUCGGGUAUACCAGCAAACAGGAAUAACAACAUCACGAUUUUGUUUACUUUUCCUUCCCUGUCAAAUGAAACAAACCCAAAUUCCCUUCAUUAUCAUUGAUUUCCCAGCAAACCCAAACACCCCAAUGAUUUCUAUCAAACAAACAAACAAAAUCCCAAAAGUAUUUUUUUACCGGUGGUCGAUUCAGAACUGCCAAAACAAUGGGAAAACAUCGUGAUUUUCGAGCAAACACCACCGAGAUCCUCACCUGCGACGAAUGGCUGCCGACCGGACUCCGAUCAGACCCCCUUUCCCCUCGUUUUCUUCCUCUGCUUUUCCCAUCGACCACAGAGAUCAGAUGGCCUCGUCUUCACUACUACCGCUUCUUGCAACGCCCGGACCUCACACCUCGCAUCCGGAAGUGACGAGCAAAACUUCGCUGCUUCUUCACGCCCUCCGUCUCUUCAGUCUCGUCGACCCGGAGACUACUCCCUCUUCGCGAAUCGACCGACGAAGCACCGCCUGCGAGCUUCAUUCUCCUUCGGUCUUCUUUGUGGUCUGCGACGAGCAAGGACCGGAUGCAGAGCCGCGACCUCGUGCUUUCCUUCUCGCCAUUUUUGUUCAUCUGCCUUCGUGUUCAUUUUCCCUCACGUCGCCUUCAUCCAUUCGUAUCCCCUUUUCUUUCAUUGCCCGAUCAAACGACGAACAGGGGGGAUUAAAAAGCCCUAAGUCAUUUUAAUUAGAAAAUGACCAAAAUGCCCUCCUUAUUAAACCAUGUCUUCAAAAUCCGUCCCAACCCCAAACAAUGAACCCAUUUGGUUAAAACAACCACUGAAUUGGUAAAUUUUUUUUUUACCAAAACAAUCAUAUUCGUUAAAUUAAACUACCAAACAGCUCCUAUAGUUAAGCGAAAUUAAAAAACAACCCAUAUAGUGUAAGUUUGUUACAAAACGGUCCCGAGAGAAUUUUAAAGCUCAAGAAUUAUGUAUUGUGUUUUCUCAAAUCAAGCUUCUUAAAGUAAACCGAAUUUAAACAAAUAUAACUCACGCUUCGAGGGUGAGUGCUUAUGACCUCUUUUUAAAAUUUUAAUUAUUUCCGCGGGGGGGGGGGGGGGGGGGGGGGNACAUGUAACACAUUUUUACAAAAAAGCUAGUAUAAACUUUUCGUAUACAUAUAAUGGAUUUUUUAUCAUGAAAUAAUUAGGCCACACGAUAAAUGUUACAUUAUACAAAAAUAUAUGAUUUUUAUGUGACAUUGUAUAUUAUGACAAACACGUUAUAACACAUUGUACUAUUUCAAGGAUUCAAGCUAUUACUAUACAUGUAUAUUUAUAUGUUUAAAUGCAUAAAGUUUAUACAUGUACACAUGCUCAUUAUUUUGAAACAUACAUCUUUGUAAAAGCAAGUAGAUUACACUUUUACAUACAUACCAAGCAUACUCGGCUUUUAUAAACUUAAUACAAUGAAACUCAUUAUGCCAAGUGACUUAAUAACAAUUAAGUUAGGAUUGAGAGUUAUUCACAGACAUUUUAGUUAAGGACUUUUUAGUGAGACGUUAUUCAUUAGCUGAGUCUAAACACUUAGCAUACCCACAAUACUGUAACCAUUCAUCUUUGGAGCGAGAUACAUAUGUAUAGAUCUAUACGGGGUUGACAUCCCCACCAGCGAUUGCUAGCCACAACCUCGACCGAUCAAUCGAAGCGGGUGAUAAGUGUCUAUGAUCGUUACUUUAACAUCCAAUGAAGCGUUGUAGUGGGUACACUCAGUCACAUAGCUCCGUUUUAGGACUCACUAUAGACAUUAACUAGAAUCUCUCUCUCUCUCACACACACACACACACUACCAAACAUGGGCUUGGGUGCUUUCAAACUAUUUUAAGUAUGGAAUUACUUAUGUAACAUAACAUUUUGGUUUUAAAGGAUAUUAAAAGAUUCUUUACAAAUACGGUUAAAAAUAUGGAUUUAAUUAUACAAAAAUACAUUUUGGCUUUUAUAGACUCAUUGCAAACAUUGUUUUAACAAUUUAUACAUACAAAGAAAAUACUUUGUAGAGUUAUGAAAAGUAUAACUACUGUUAGCAAAAACUAGUAACACUCACCAACCUUUUGUUGACCCUCAAAACUAUAUGUAUUCUCAGGAAAUCACUAAACAAACAUUCAAGACGGAUUGUAUUACAGGUGACCUAGUUUACUUGUUGUUGUAUUAUAUGCUUAUCUGUUAAAGCAAUUCAUGUAUUGUUGUCAUUUGUAAAAAUGUUGUAUUCAAAUAUCAAGAUGGAACAUGAAUGUUAUAUUGUUUAUUGUUGUACUUGUACUAUAAUCCCCACCAACGAUAAUAUACAAGAGUUAUAUGUACUCUAACCCGCGAUGAGAACACUUAAUAAAACUCUAACAUGCCUCCAACUAAAACUACCAACUCAACCCUUUAGGUCCAACACCUCAAUUAAGGUUAGUACCGUACAUAAGCCAUAUCAUAAAUAAACUUGGAACAUACGCAUAUGUUAUUUAUGGUUGGGCCGAUGAACAACCAACCUCGAGCAAGGAGUUUGACAGACUAUAAUGGUAGAAAGUUUUAGAGAUUAAAGGAUGUUCUCAAGAUUCUCUGCAGAAACUUAGUACCUUAGAAACCCUAUAUCAACCCCAAAACAACAUAUACACUUUAAAAAUACUUAAAAAUCUGGGAUAACAUUCAUAUUUUUUGUAGUUCGCAUAACCCCGAAGAAGAACAAAGAACCACUAGCUCCGCUACCAUUGUAGCAGUGAAACCCAUAGUUCCCAAUCGAUCAUUCAGUAGUCUCCAAACAUCUCUCUCUAUCAUAUGAAAUCGGUAGAAUUUCAAUUCUCUCUCUAUAAUUUGGAACCUAACCAUAAAAGGAUCGGAGGUGACUGCUUACACUGUCCGAUUUAACGACCUCACAAACCUUUGCCCGGAAAUGAUGAACCCGUAAUAGAAAUAGACGGAAAUUUAAUACCUAUGACCAUUGGAAGUUUUGAUGUGAUCAUCAAAAUGGAUUGGUUAUCACUUCAUCGAGCAGAUAUUUUAUGCUACGAAAAUUCCGUUCAAAUACCUUUAACCAACAACAAAACUCAUGUGAUUUACAGACGACAUAAGUGUGGGAAGAACCUAAGAACCAUCUCCUGGAUGAAGGCAAAGAGGUGGUUGCAGAAGAUAUGCUUCACUUUCUUGGCUCACGUGGUGGAUAUGCAAGACAAGCUUAUGGAAAUCAAAGACAUACUACAAAUGUGAGAUUACUCGGACAUAUUUCUAGAAGAUCUACCUGGAGUACCUCCAAUCAGACAAGUUGAAUUUCGAAUCGAAUUAAUCCCAUAUGCAGCACCAGUGGCUGGAUCUCCUUAUCGUCUGGCUCCAUCGGAAAUACAAGAACUAUCUAGUCAACUUUAAGAACUUCUUAACAUAGUCCUUAUCCGACCAAGCUUCUAUCUAUGGGGAACUUUGGAAUUGUUUGUCAAAAAGAAGGAUGGAUCAUUCAGGAUGUGCAUCGACUAAUGAGAGUUGAACAAAUUCGCCAUCAAAAACCAAUAUUCACUCCCGAGGAUCGAUGGCCUGUUCGACCAACUAGAAGGAUCCCGUUACUACUCAAAGAUCGAUCAAUGAUCCGGCGAUCAACAACUCAGAAUCCAAGAAGCAGACCUUUCAAAGACAACAUUUAGGACUCGAUACAAUCACUACUAGUUCCUAGUUAUGCCAUUCAGACUAACCAAAGACGCCAACCGAAGUAAGCAAAUUCCUUGGGCUUGCAGACUAUUAGCAAAAAUUCAUCAAGAACUUCUCCCAAAUAGCCAAUCCUCUCACCGCUCUUACCUAGAAAGACAAUGAUUUCGAUCGGGGAGACAACAAGAGUCUGCCUUCGAGAAAUUGAAACAAGAGUUGUGCAGUGCACCAAUUUUGGCUCUUCUAAAGGGAACAUGUGUGACAUCCCCAAUUUCACGGCCAGAAAAGACCGAUUUGUUUAUGCUUUGUUUUCAAAAUCAGAGUGAUCGUUUAAAGAAAACGGUUGCGGAAUUUGUUCCCAAAAUAAAAUAUGAUAACCAUUUUAUCAAAACAUUUCUCAAAAAGAAUGUAUUUUUAUUAAAUAAUAAAACCUCGGGAUGUCAUGUUCGUUACAGACCAAAAGCAUAAACAACAUAAUAUAGACCUUACAAUAGUUAUUCAACUACUGAUCUAUAAUCCAAAAUCUCUCGUCAAGUCCGCCGACUUAUACUCUUGUGUCAUUACCUGUAAUGAAAAGAAAACUGAGUGGGUCAGGCUUGGGAGCCUGGUGAGCAUAUAGGGUUUUCAUCCCACAAUGUUACAUCAUAUAUUUAUAAAUAUAGAACAUUCAAACCUGCACAAUUUCACCACAUAAAGACAACUCUUAACCCACCCCAUUGAUCCUCACAAUGACACGAUCUAAACUCUCACAUCUAAUAUUUUUCCUCUUUACCUGAUCCCUACUCAUGGAUCUAAAACUACCCGAUCCAUACCCACGGAUCUAAAACUACCUGAUCCAUACUCACGGAUCUAAAACUACCUCCUGAUCUGAUCCAUACUCCCGGAUCAAUAAUUGUACCCAAUCCAUACUCCCGGAAUAGGGACAAUUAACUAUACCUUAAUCCUGAUCUGAUCCAUACUCCCGGAUCUAUAACUGUGCCCAAUCCAUACUCCCGGACUAGGGACAAUUAUCUUAAUCUUAAUCCAUAUCUGAUCCAUACUCCCGGAUCUAUAACUGUGCCCAAUCCAUACUCCCGGACUAGGGACAAUUAACUUAGUCUUAAUCCAUACUCCCGGACUAAUAGCAAGUUUAUCUCUUUACCUGAUCCAUACUCACGGAUCUAAAACUAACCUCUAAAUCUGAUCCCUACUCACGGAUCUAAACUGACCUCUUGAUUUGAUCCCUACUCACGGAUCUAAACUAACCUCUUGAUCUAAUCCAUACUCGCUGAAUAACUAGAUCAACAACAACAACAUCGGGGCCUCUCAUCUGUUUAUCACACAUCAACUGUCUCCCCAUGUUCUACCCAACAUAUUAGUAGAUAAAAAUAUAUAUUUUUAUCCAUAGUUUGAAACCUGUAUAACAUUCUCAUUCAAUACCUAUUCCACAUAACAGAUGAGGCACACCCACAUAACACGUAUUUCAUAGAGAAUAAAUCAGAUCUAUGAGAUAGAAGAAAGUGAAUAUACAUUCACACACAUAACAACAAAACUAUACACAUAACACGUAUUUCGUAUAAAAUACUUCAUAAUUAUGCGUUAGAAGAAAGUAACCACACACUCACNNNNNNNNNNNNNNNNNNNNNNNNNNNNNNNNNNNNNNNNNNNNNNNNNNNNNNNNNNNNNNNNNNNNNNNNNNNNNNNNNNNNNNNNNNNNNNNNNNNNNNNNNNNNNNNNNNNNNNNNNNNNNNNNNNNNNNNNNNNNNNNNNNNNNNNNNNNNNNNNNNNNNNNNNNNNNNNNNNNNNNNNNNNNNNNNNNNNNNNNNNNNNNNNNNNNNNNNNNNNNNNNNNNNNNNNNNUCACACUUAUAAACAACAAUACUCUUAAUACACUCAAACCAAACUCGUAUUAUUAUUGUGUUUAUGAAAGGUAGUAUACACUCACUUGAUCAGAAGAUGAUCGGACAGCACUACGACUUGCAGAAGUAGUAAUCCUCAGCAGAUCUGGAAGAUCUCUUCAAAAAUCGAACUUCUCGCGGGCAGAGCUUCGGCUCGGGAACCGCACUUCUCGGGAUCUUCGGGAUCUCGGGACUUGCUUCGGGGCUUGAGAACAAUACCGGGGCUUCGGGGUAUUUCUGGCACGCAAACCGAUGCAAAAUGGGAGAAAGAAGAGGAGAAAUUGGCAAAACUAUCGGCUGCCUUCGGAUUCCUUUUAUAGAGGCUGAGCCUCGCACGUACGCGGGGCGUACGCCAGUACGCGGGGCGUACUGGUCCGAAAAACGUCACUGCGUUCGUCAUCCGAAGCCACUUGCUGCGAUGUCGACACUUUCGGAGUACGCGGUGCGUACUCGAGUAUGCGGGGCGUACUCGAGUACGCGGCGCGUACCUCGGAUCAGACCGGUGACUCCUUCGGAUAAUGCUUCCGAAUUAAAGAUUAAAAAUAAAUACAAAUUAUUUAAUAAUCUUCGGAAAUUCAUAUCUUCUUCAUACGAACUCCGUUUUCGACGUUCUUUAUAUCCACGCGAAGGUGAGACUACGUUCUACAACUUUCGUUUAGACUCCGUCGGCUAAUUUUGACUUUAUUUUUAUUAAUUAUUUUUAAUAGGCCGCGACAUAAACUUUCGUUAUAAAUUCAUAACUUCUUCGUUUGACGUCCGUUCUCGCCUAACUUUUUAUCGCUUCGAUACCAACAAUGAGAUCUUCGAUUCUCAUUUAGAUUGCUUCGGCUAAAAACCGCUCGAACGUAAAUUCACUUUUUACGUUGCAUUGCGUCGUGCCGGUUCUGUCGCGAAACUUCGACGGGCCAUAACUUCUUCGUUAUAACUCGGAUUUUGGCGUUCUUUAUAUGCACGGAAACCUUGUGACAUAUACUACAACUUGGUUAAGAUUAAUCCUUCUAGAUAACCUUCCAUCAAAAAGUCAUUUUUGAUGCUUAUUGUUUCUAAAUUGACUAGCCCUGAUCUACGGGCGUUACAACAUGAGACAUUGUAGUAUUCAGCAACGCCUCACAACAAGGGUUAGGAUGCAUAUUGAUGCAAAGGAAUAAAAUCAUUGAUCACGCUUCUAGACAACUUAAUCCAAACAAGGCCUACUACAUUACUAAUGAAUUAGAUUUGGGAGCUGUAGUGAUUUCCUUAUAGAUUUAGAGGCACUGCCUCUACGGGUCGAAGUGUGUCGUGUUCACCGAUCACAAAAGCCUUCAACACAUCUUCAACCAGAAGGAGCUCAACAUGAGACAACGAAUGUGUGUCGAAUUUCUAAAUGAUUACGAAUGUGAAAUUCAUUAUCAUACUCGUAAACAAAAAUGUUGUAGUAGACGCUUUAACCUAGAAAGAAGAAGCAAAGCCACUUCAUGAGAAAGCCUUAACCUUAACCAUCCACUCCAAUCUCACCAACCAAAUUCGAGAUGCUCAGCUGGAAGCACUCAAACCCGAGAAUUUCAUGGAAGAAAACAUGUGAGGCAUGGGUAAACAUUUUGACCUCAUGGAAUACGGAACACGAUAUCUCAUGAGUCGAAUUUGGACACCAAAGUUUGGUGAAGUCAUGAGUCUAGUCUUAAAUGAAGCUCAUGAAUCGAGACAUUAUGUACAUCUCAGAUCAGAUAAGAUGUAUCUCUACCUCAAGAAGCUUUAUUGGUGGACCAACAUGAAGGCAGAGAUUUCCAUCCAUGUCAGUAAAUGCUAGACUUGCUCCCGAGUCAAAACAGAUUACCAAAAAUCCAUUUGUUCUACCAAAACAAUCUCCAAUCCUAGAACGGAAGUUGGAAUAAAUAACCCUGGACUUCAUAACAAAGUUGUCAAGAACUUUAAACGGAUACGACACUAUUUAGGUAGUUUUCAACUUUUUGACCAAUUCCCCCUAUUUCGUAGCCCUAAAAAAGAAACAAACAAGACGGAAAAAAGUCACCAGAGUUAUCUCAAAGAGGUAAUCAUACUAAAUUAUCUGUUAAAAUUUACUAUCUCAGACCGAGAUAAUAAAUUUACUUUCAUAUUCUGGGAAUCAUUGCAAAGGUUCCUAGGAACCAAACUCGGCGUAAGUAUUACAUAUCAUCCUCAAACGGAUUAUCAGAGUGAAAGAAUGAUGCAAACUCUACAAGUUAUGCUUCGUGCUUGAGUGAUGGAAUUUGGUAAUGCACGAGAUACUCACUUACCACUAGUCGAGUUUUCAUUUAACAAUAACUAUCACACUAACAUAAAGACCACUCCAUUUGAGACCUUGUACUGGUGCAGAUGUUGUUCUCCGAUAUGCUGGGUAGAAAUUAGAGAUACUCAAUGAGCUAUAAAACGUGUUAGGAUACUCUACACAGUACAAACUGGUCCAGAGAUCAUUCAUGAAACAAUAGGAGAAGAUUGUUCAAAUAAAGGAAUGACUAAGGACCGCAAGCAGUCAUUAGAAAAGCUAUGCCGACACAAGACGCAAAACCAUAGAAUUCAAAGUAGGAGAUCGUGUCCUACUAAAAGUCGCACCAUGAAAACGUGUCAUUCGAUUUGGAAAACGUGCCAAACUAAACCCCCGUUACAUUGUACCUAUUCAAAUCCUGUCAAGAGUUGGUCCAGUGACUUACAAACUCAAUUUACCUAAAAAACUUAAUAAAGUUCAUGAUACCUUCAACAUAUUAAAUCUUAAAAAGUAUCUCUCUAAUGAGAACCUUGUCAUUACUCUCGAUGAGAUCCAGGUCAACAAUAAGCUUCACUUCGUGAAGGAACCGAUGGAGAUCUUGGAUCGAAAAUCAAAAGCCUCAAAGAAAGCCACAUACCUAUAAUAAAUGCUCGAUGGAACUCUCGUAGAGAUCCGAAGUUUACUUGGGAAUGUAAGAAUCGGAUGAAACAAAAACAUCCACAACUUUUUAGCAGUGUUCCCUCCACUAGUAGAACAAAAUGAUUGUGGAACAAAAUAAUCAAGACUUAAAUAAUUUCGGGACGAAAUUCCCUUAACGGUCGGGUUCAUAGUAAAUCGCUUUGUAAUUUGACUCAUUGAGCACUUGUGAGCAAAGAAAACAUUCUAGUCUUAAAGUAUACGUUUCCCUAUUUCCAAAAAUAUAAAGAACGUCCCGAACGGUGUUUGUAUACAAAAGAUACGACCGUUUUAAGAAUCCAAAACCAAUAUAAUACUGAUUCUUUUAAAAUAGCUAAAAAUUGUUUCCAUCCGUUGAGGGACUUGCACACCUCAAAUAGGAAUUCCGAAAGCAUUUUUGGACUCAGACUAUAGCUUAAUAUUUAAUUUCAUAUUUGAAAUAUUUUUAGUAAAAUAUUUAUAAAGUGGAAAAAUCAGAUGUUUUCAGAUUUAGUAAUCGCGAAACCUUAAACUAUUGAUUUCGAUAUGAUUUCAAUUAUUGGCAAUAUAUUCUGGAAAUAAUAUAUUAUUAUCCAAUCCAGAUAUUACAAGUCUUAACGCAGAGAUAACCCAAAUUUUGUAAAAUCAUGUACAUCUAUAUAUACAUAUAUAUGUUAGGAACGUAUUUAUCAAAAAUCUAUUAUGUAUUUGCUAUAAUUUUUAUAAAACCAUAUUGCAUAUGACAAAUAGUCAAUCAUGUAUUCACAAUGCAUAUAUGAUAUAUAAUUAAAAUUAUAUAACGACACUAAAUAUAUAAAUGUUUAUAUAUAAGUCAUAUGAUUUUUCCAAAUACCAAAUGCUAGUAUAUAUGAAAAAAUUUGAACACUUAUUAUGUACAAAUAUUCAAUUUUUUAUAUAUCUCAUAAACAUACGUUAUAUAUGUGUCAAUUUUUAUACAAAUGUUUAACAAAUUAAUGAAUUUCAAAUUUCCUACCAUAUGAGUUUAAAUUUAUAUAAUACACAAAUAUGUAAACUACUACAAUUAACUAGUACAAUAAAUCAAUACAUAUCCAAAUUCAACUAAAUACAUACUACUACAGUUAACUAGUACAAUAAAUCAAUACAUAUCUAGUACAAUAAAUCAAUACAUAUCCAAAUUCAACUAAAUACAUACGCAUGGAGUAAAUUGUACAAAUCAAUACACAAAGCUAUAAACAUAAAACACAAAAUAUAUAAAAACAAUCAAACCAAUUAUAUAAGCACAAAGUUAUAAACUAAAUACAUACGCAUAGGAAAAAACUUUUGCUUCAAUUUACACCCAAAGAAAACACAAAAUAUAUAAAAACAAUCAAAAAUCAAACCUAUUAUAUAAAAAUUACAGCCAAAAACCAUAAAAAUCAAACCAAUUAUAUAAAAAUUACAGCCAAAAACCAUAAGUUGCUUCAAUUUACACCCAAAGAAAAAACAAAAUAUAUAAAAACAAUCAAAAAUCAAACCAAUUAUAUAAAAAAUUACAGCCAAAAACCAUAAAAAUCAAACCAAUUAUAUAAAAAUUACAGCCAAAACCCAAAAGUUUACAUCCAAAUAACAAAGCAUCCAAUUCUACACACAAUGGAAAAUACUACACUCAAACUCAAAAGAAAACGUGUUUCCUUUUCUCAAGUGAAGCUGUCACAGGAACAGCCCCUAACACCCUUCUCUUCUACGUUUCCUGUUAAUAAACCUCCAUAUUUCCUUUCAUCCUACAUCGACAAGAAUACUCUUGUUCUUGACUUCGGGUAUACCAGCAAACAGGAAUAACAACAACACGUUUUUGUUUACUUUUCCUUCCCUGUCAAAUGAAACAAACCCAAAUUCCCUUCAUUAUCAUUGAUUUCCCAGCAAACCCAAACACCCCAAUGAUUUCUAUCAAACAAACAAACAAAAUCCCAAAAGUAUUUUUUUACCGGUGGUUGAUUCAGAACUGCCAAAAAAAAGGGGAAACAUCGUGAUUUUCGAGCAAACACCACCGAGAUCCUCACCUGCGACGAAUGGCUGCCGACCGGACUCCCAUCGGACCCCCUUUCCCCUCGUUUUCUUCCUCUGCUGUUCGCAUCGACCACAGAGAUCAGAUGGCCUCGUCUUCGCUACUACCGCUUCUUGCAACGCCCGGACCUUACACCUCGCAUCCGGAAGUGACGAGCAAAACUUCGCUGCUUCUUCACGCCCUCCCUCUUCAGUCUCGUCGACCCGGAGACUACUCCCUCUUCGCGAAUCGACCGACGAAGCGCCGCCUGCGAGCUUCAUUCUCCUUCGGUCUUUCUUUGUGGUCUGCGACGAGCAAGGACCGGAUGCAGAGCCGCGACCUCGUGCUUUCCUUCUCGUCAUUUUUGUGCAUCUGCCUUCGUGUUCCUUUUCUUUCAUUGCCCGAUCAAACGAAGAGCACGGGGGAUUAAAAAGUCUUAAGUCAUUUUAAUUAGAAAAUGACCAAAAUGCCCUCCCUAUUAAACCAUGUAUUCAAAAUCCCUCCCAACCCCAAACAAUGAACCCAUUUGUUUAAAACAACCCCUCAUUUGGUAAUUUUUGUUACCAAAACAAUCCUAUUCGUUAAAUUAAACUACCAAACAACUCCUAUAGUUUAGCGAAAUUACAAAACAACCCAUAUAGUGUAAGUUUGUUACAAAACGGUCCCAAGAGUAAUUCAAAGUUCAAGAAUUAUGUAUUGCAUUUUCUCAUGUCAAGCUUCUCAAAGGAAACCGAAGUUAAACAAAUGCAACUCACGCUUCGAGGGUGAGUGCUUACGGCCCCUUUCAAAAAUUUUAAUUAUUUCCGGGGUGGGGGGGCGGAUACAUGUGCCUACAUAUUUCAUUUAUAUAAACUAGUUAUCUUUUAUGCAAAAAUAUAAUAAAUCUAGUUUAUAAAAAUGUUAUUUAAUAAUGUAACACAUUUUUACAAAGAAGCUAGUAUAAACUUUUCGUAUACAUAUAAUGGAUUUUUUUAUCGUGAAAUAAUUAGUCCACACGAUAAAUGUUACAUUAUACAAAAAUAUAUGAUUUUUAUGUGACAUUGUAUAUUACGACAAACACGUUAUAACACAUUGUACUAUUUCAAGGAUUCAAGCUAUUACUAUGCAUGUAUAUUUAUAUGUUUAAAUGCAUAAAGUUUAUACAUGUACACAUGUUCAUUAUUUUGAAACAUGCAUCUUUAUAAAAGCAAGUACAUUACACUUUUACAUACAUACCAAGCAUACUCGGCUUUUAUAAACUUAAUACAAUGAAACUCAUUAUGCCUAGUGACCUAAUCACAAUUAAGUUAGGACUGAGAGUUAUUCACAAGCAUUUUAGUUAAGGGCUUUUUAGUGAGACGUUAUUCAUUAGCUGAGUCUAAACACUUAGCAUACCCACAAUACUGUAACGCUUAAUCGUUGGAGCGAGAUACAUAUGUAUAGAUCUAUACGGGGUUGACAUGCCCACCAGCAAUUGCUAGCUACAACCUCGACCGAUCAAUCGAAGCGGGUGAUAAGUGUCUAUGAUCGUUACUUCAACGUCCAAUGAAGCGUUGUAGUGGGUACACUCAGUCACAUAGCUCCAUUUUAGGACUCACUAUAAACAUUAACUUGGAUAUCUCACUCUCUCUCUCUCUCACACACACACACACACUACCAACCAUGGGCUUGGGUGCUUUCAAAACUAUUUUAAGUAUGGAAUUACUAAUGUAACAUAACAUUUUUGGUUUUAAAGGAUAUUAAAAGAUUCUUUACAAAUACGGUUAAAAAUAUGGAUUUAAUUAUACAAAAAUACAUUUUGGCUUUUAUAGACUCAUUGCAAACAUUGUUUUAAAAAUUUAUAUACAUACAAAGAAAAUACUUUUUAGACUUAUUAAAAGUAUAACUACUGUUAGCAUAUACCAGUAACACUCACCAACCUUUUGUUGACCCUCAAAACUACAUGUAUUCUCAGGAAAUCACUAAACAAACAUUCAAGACGGAUUGUAUUGCAGGUGACCUAGUUUACUUGUUGUUGUAUUAUAUGCUUAUCUGUUAAAGUAAUUCUUGUAUUGUUGUUAUUUGUAAAAACCUUGUAUUCAAAUAUCAAGAUGGAACACGAAUCUAAUAUUGUUUAUUGUUGUACUUAUACUAUAAACCCCACCAACGAUAAUAUAUAAGAGUUAUAUAUACUCUAACCUGCGAUAAGAACACUUAAUAAAACUCAAACAUUCCUCCAACUAAAACUACCAACUCAACCCUUUAGGUGCAACGCCUCAACUAAGGUUAGUACCGUACAUAAGCCAUAUCAUAAAUAAACCUGGAACAUACACAUAUGUUAUUUAUGGUUGGGCCGAUGUGAUGGGUUAUGAACAUUCUAACACCCCUAAGUGUACAUGCAACCCUAGAAAAACUUGGAUCUAUGUUUGUCUAAAAUACAUGUAAAAUAUGAUUUCCGAGGUUCAUAAACCUAUCUAGCAUAUAUGGGGAACUUUUAACAUAAAAGUCAGCUAGAAUUACAUACCUUGUAGUUGAUUUGAUUCCUUGAAAACCUUGAGAGCCUAGCACCCCAAGUGUGAUGCCUCAAAUGUUUCACACAACUCCAAGUGCUUUGGAAUAACUUUGAGAGAAUGUAGAACACUUGCAAAAUCGGAUUGCCUCUCUAUCUUGCUUCUAGUGCCGAUUUUGGUGAGCUUCAUAUCCUUUUUAUAGUGUGUUACAAUUCGGGUUACACCAUGUAACCAUAAUGUAACAUGGCUCUUCAUUUCCAUAACCCAUGGGUUUGUAACUCCCACGAAACAUCCUAUGGACCUUAGCCCAACUUAAUAAUCCAUGGAGCAUCUAGCCCACUAUACAAGUUAUGGAUGAUUUACAUAAUCAACCCAUAUAUUUAAUUAGUCUUCUUUUGAUAACUUCAUUAAUUCCAAAUUAAAUCUUGAUCAAUACUAAUUAAAUAAUACUAUUAAUAUAUUAGAACUUAUAAUAUACUAAUCAACCACAAGUGUUAUUUCUCUCAUUUUAGUUUAUCCAAAUGCAUGAUGCCAUGCAACCUAAAUGGACCAUGCCAGGUCGGGUCAAGUACAUAUCAAAUAUAGUUAUGGACUUAGACACCUUAUCCAACAAUCUCCCACUUGGAUAAGUCUAAUAAUUAUAACUGCAAGUAUGACUUCAUUAACCGAUCAACAAUCGUAGCUCUUUCAAGGUCUGUUGGAACUGAGAAGAUGAUGAUACACCACUUUAGAUAAGUGAUCAUAUAAUCCUCAGUUCUAGAUAUCAGCUAGACAAAUACAUGGAACAAUGUCUUACUUAUUGUCCAGUAGUUUGUUUCCCAAUUUUCAAUUUGUUUGACAUAGAACGAAAUUGAACAAAUCAAUUCGGUUCUGACCGAGCCCGGAACAUAGUUCAAAACAAAAUCAUCGAGGGGCCCAGAUAUCCGCUUCUAAUCCAAUAAGGAACAUAUCAACUUUGACUCAAAUGCUUGUUCUACUACUAGUUGAAUCACACACAACAGUACGUUUUAUAACAUCGAGUUACCAAUGCAUUUUCAUACGAUCAAUGCAUGACCCACUCAUAGGCAACAAGUCAUAUUUCUAGAUUUGAAGACUUAUAUGAUAUUACCGUCUCACGAUCACCCGAGAUAAAUUCCAUGAAGUGAUACCAGUGAGCGUGGGUUGAAUCCAAUACUCAGAACUUAUGAGCACUCAUGAAUGUUGUAGCCAUGUCCAACAACUUAGAUCUCUGCAACCAACUCAUGAUAGUCUUGAUUCAUACCUACUUCCAACAUAUGACUGACUGUGGAGAAUUCGAAUAAUAUGAUAUACCAAACAUAAUUAUUCUGGAAGUCAAAACCUGCAAAAGAAAUAUAGUAAACGAUUGACAAUAGAUAGCAACACUUUACUCAUAAAUAAACACAGUUUUUAUUCAUCAUCAAAUUUCAAUUACACUUUACAAAUUUCAAAAUUAUCUAACUACUAAAACUAAAAUCAUCCAUCGGCCCUAUGCUCCGAGCAUGUUGGAGAUGCUUAACCCGAAUCAAUCCCUUCGUGAGGGGAUCUACCGGGUUCUCAUCUGACGAUACCCUCUUUGCCACGAGGAAUCCUUCUUCUAUUUGAUGUCUGAUGAAAUGGUAUUUUUGUCGAUGUGUCUGGAUCUCCCAUGAUCCCUUAGUUCCUUGGCUAAGGCAACUGCACUUUCACUAUCAUAGACAAUUUCCAUUGGCUCCUUUGCAGCGAUGGCUAACAGAACCCUAAUGGACUUAGAGGGUGUUUGUUUUUUCUCUGCAGGUCUGUGUGACCUCUUCUGUCUGCGAGGCGCAGACCACGCGCAUACAUAAUGGUUUGCAGUCCAUUUGUUUUUCUGAAGUGCGCAGACAUAAAAACGUCUGCGCGAGGUCUUCACCACACAGAUAUGGGAUAGCCUCUUCUAAAGUCUAUAAUGCCUUUGACCUACAAAACGUGUUUCUUUUUUUUGGUUUCCGCCUCCAUUCGUCGUCCAACCUCCCAACCUCCUAGAAAAAACCCUCGACGACUCCAUCUUCCAGCAACCUUCAUCUCGGCUUGUCACCUCCAAUCAAAACCACCGGUCGCAGCCCUCCUCUUCGAUCCGGCGUCGUCAGAUUGCAGCAACCAUCGAACGAAGAACCACCGUCGAUUGCAGCGAGCGAAUAGCAAGGGAAAAGCGAGAAAUCAACGAGCAAUCAGGUUUGUCGUCACCUCCUCUCUCUGUCGAUUUCAAUUUCAAUUCAACUUUUUUGAUUCACAUCCUUGUUCAAUUUCUUGUUUGAUUCACAUCCUUGUUUCACAGAAAAUCUUGGAGGUGUAUAAUCUAUCAUAUAUUCUUGCUAAAAUUGAAAGCCAAAUUCCCAGCAAAUUGAAAAUCUUACCUGUAAACAAAUUGGAUUUCUAAACAAAUUGGAUUUAUAUUUUUUUUUGAUUGGAAGCCAAUAUACAUAACUGUCAAGCAAAAGAUAACAUAUUCUCUUGUUGAUUGUGAUUGUUUAUGUGUAUAUGAUUUUUGAUUGUGUAUAUGUAUAUGAUUAUUGAUUGUGUAUAUGUAUAUGAUAGUGUAUAUGUAUAUGAUAGUGUAUAUGUAUAUGAUUGUUGAUUGUGUAUAUGUAUAUGAUAGAAAGCAUCAAAACGAGUCAUAAGUUUUGUUUAUUUGAUAGAAGUAAAAUGGAAAACUCACGAGCUGUUUGGAUGUGUGUUGGUACUAAUGAUUUUGAUUUAUAAAAUUUUUAGAAAACUUUGAAUUAAAACACUCUAAUUGAGGUUAUUUAUAAUUGAAUAAAAAGUUUCACAUUAUUAUGAUUGAAAAUAAAACAAAAUUACAAAUUUGACGUGAAAAUAAAAAGUUUACUAAAACAAAAUUUAUUGAAAUAAUGCAGUGAAAAUAAAACAAAAUUACACAUUAUUAUGAUUGAAAAGAAAGCAAAAUUACAAACUUACCCUUUCAAUUCCUUAAAUAGGUAGCCCUUUUCGAUUUGUGGAUGAUAUAAUUUGCCUAGAAUGUGCUGAAAUCAAGUUUUUUCUUGAAAUAAUGCUAUGAAAUAAUGAUGUUACUUGUUGAUUGUUUAUUGUUAUUUGGUUUUGUAAAUACUUUUUAUUGUCUCAAAUCGUUAUUUUUUUGUUAGAAUGUGUGUGAUAUGUAAUUCCUUAUUAAAUCAUAUUUGUCUAUGUUAAAUUGGUUAUUAGAAAUGGGAGAAAAACAACAACGGACCAAUGAGCAUUUAAAAUGCUUAUUGGAUACUUGUAUUGAAGAAGUAGAGAGUGUUGGUAGAAAAUGAUUGAGUUUGCAGAAAGAUUCAUGGAUAAGGCUUGGAAGAGUUCUUAAGGAGAAAUUUGGGGUUGAGUUGACUCAAAAACAAAUGAAAAACACAUAUGACAAUCUGAAAGCCAAAUACACUGGAUGGGUAUAUUUAAAAAACAAAACUGGUAAUAUAUACAAUUCUCAAACAAACACUUUUAAUUUCAUAGCCGAGGAGUGGGAUGAUUUUAAGAAGGUACAUAUACAUUAAUAUACAAUAAUAUAUAUAUANAGAACAAUUCCACUGCCUUUUCCAGAUCUUUGUGCACGUCUCUUUGAUGGAAAUAGUGCCAAUGGUAAUUUUAGGAGUUACUCAACCCAAUCAUCAUCAGUAGCUGGCGCAUCCUCCUGUCGUGUUCCACCACUUCAGAUCACCGCCACCCCUUUUGAUGCAAUAGAUGAUGAUGGUGUUGACACUUCUCAUCAUGAGUCACCACCUUCUGCUGGUUCACCUUCUGCUACACCAUCCAGUAACCCCAACAAAAGGGCUAAAACCUUAACUCCUGUAGCUCCUAGUGCCUCACCGUCUGCUUCUUCACCUGAUGGAACUUCUAUUACUGCUGACGAUUUAGCAUUUGAAAUGAAGAAAGCUCUACAAAGUUUGACUAAAGGGUAUACAAUUCCUCAGUGUUUAGAGAAGUUAGAGGUCCUUCAGUUAGGCCCUACAGAUCCUUUACGCUUUGUCGCAUAUCAUAUUUUUGGAGGAACCAUGAACAUGAGAGAGAUGUGGAUGCAUUUGCCCGAUGUUCCCGAGAUAUUACGAGGGUGGCUUGAGAUGACGGGUACCAGUUUAGGAGUUUUGAAGGAUGGAAAGAUUGUCCGAUGAUUUUCUAGUGUUAAAACUAUUUGUUAUGUCUUUUUGCUUUGUUGGAACUACUUUGUUAAAUGUUUUUGCCUUUGUUGGAACUAUUUUGUUAGGUCUUUUUGCCCUUGUUGGAACUAUUUUUUGUUAUUUUGCUACUUGGAAUAUGGUUUAUGUAAUGUUAUGUUGGUAGUUGAAAUAUGAUUAAUGGAAUGUUUAUUUGAUACUUGAAAUAUGGUUUAUGUAAUGUUUUUUUGGCUUGAAAUAUGAUAAAUGGAAUGUUUAUUUGAUACUUGAAAUAUGGUUUAUGUAAUGUUUUUUAAAGUUCUACUUUGUUGAUUUUAGGUUCAUAUGGAUCACGAUCAAAAGUUACUUCUCGUAAUUCUAAUGUACCUAUACAUCCGUUAUUUUUGGAAGAGGGGUGUGAAACGAUUGCGGGAUAAUGAUUCGGAAAUGACGGGACACGAAUACACAUUGGAGUUAUUACACCGUAAUCGUUUACAAUGUGUUGAAGUAUUACGCAUGUCCCGUGAAUCUUUUGUACGACUAUGUGCUCAUUUUAGAGCAAAUUACUCAUUAAAGGACAACAAACAUGUAUCGGUUGAGGAAAAGAUGGCUAUGUUUUUGAUGAUGAUCGGACAUAAUCAACGUUACGUGAUUAUCAAGCGGAGAUUUCAACACUCGAAGCAAACAAUUCAUAAAUUUUUUUAUGAAGUGUUGGAAAAAAUGAUGCUUUUCGCACAAGAUGUUAUAGUACCAACAUCUUUUAAUCCGAAUCCAAACAUUCCAGGAUAUAAUAGGAGGCUACGAAGGGUUUUCAAAGGAGCAGUUGGUGCACUUGAUGGCACUUUGAUACAUGUUGUUGUCCCUGCUAAGAAACAAGACUUAUAUAGAAGUAGGGGAAAGGGAGAUUGCUACCAAAACGUAUUGGCAAUUUGUGACUUCAAUAUGAUUUUUACAUUUGUUGUGACCGGGUGGGAAGGGGUAGCGCAUGACUCUAGAAUAUUAUCAGAAGCAGUAGCCGAUCCACAAGCAUCAUUCCCGUUUCCACCACCAGGUAAAUUUUUGUUUNUUUUAAAUAUUUUUAUCUUAAUUUGAAAAUUGAUUAGUGUUUUGCAUUUUUUUUCAGACAAAUACUAUCUUUGUGAUGCCGCGUAUGCAUACACUCGAGGAUUUAUGGCCCCUUAUCGUAAUGUGAGGUAUUGGCUUAGAGAUUGUCAUCAAAGACGUGCAUUGACCAAUAAAGAAAAAUUUAACCAUGGACAUGCAAAACUUCGGAAUGUCAUUGAGCGUUCUUUUGGUGUUUUGAAAGCACGCUUCCCUAUAUUGAAGAGGAUGGCACCAUUCCCGUUUGUGACACAAAGAAACAUUGCCAUGGCAUGCUUCGCGCUUCAUAAUUAUAUAAGGAAAGAAGGAUUGAGUGAUGAGUAUUUCGCACGAUACGAUGAACCCAAUGUUCCAUUUCGAAAUAACAAUGUGGCCAUUGAUGAUGAUGAAGACGGGAUUCCAACACAUGGUACUGCAGCAGACGGUGAAUAUAUGACUCAGUUACAGGAUGAAAUUGCUGAUCAGUUGAUGCACAAUAUAUAUUGAAUUGUUUAAAAUGAAAUUGGUAUUGUAAAACAAAUUUUUUUAUUGUAUGACCAAUUUAGUUGCAUGAAUUUUAUUUUCAAUGUUAUAAGACUAUUAUUAUUAAAAUUUUGGUGUUGAAAAAUCAUUUUAAGUUUGUAAAGUAAUUUUAUUUAAAAUUCAGUUUAUUUCAGCAGUCUGCAGACGUUAAAAAACAAACAGUCUUCUUAUUGCAGACUGCAGACGUUUGGUCCACCUCUUCUACUGCCAGUGGCGAAUCUAGAACCAAAAACUACGUGGUUCCUUAUGUAAAUAAAACUAAAAAAAAUAAAAGAGUAAAAAUUACUAAUGGCAUCGGGUCGGGUUGUAUGCCUUAAAAUAAUUAAACAUAACUUCAAUAUUUAUAAUAGUUUUACAUUUGAACUCUAAGAGAUCUUAUAUCUUGAAAUAUAUAUUAAUAAUUAUAUCAUUAUCGAUACUUUCUAAGACACUUGUUUUAAUAUAUGAUAUUAAACUAUCAUUCAAAAAUUUAAAUAUAUAAAAUAUAAGUAGGAAGAAGUGGCACCCGGUGAAAGGACAAUGGUUGUCGGUGGCCAGACGACGGACAGAAGGAUCUAUCAACCAGACAUGCAAGAACCUUAUGAGGCGUCAAACGUUAGGAGAUGUCAAUCAAUGAUCACAUUUCAUGAAGUUUUCUUUUAUUAUUGAUCUAUUUCCCAAUGAAUAAAUUUUAAAUGGAUCGAGGUAGUGGAUUAUUUUAAUUAAACUAUAAUAUAUACAUUUUAGGUUGAUGUAUUUUUUUUCCAAAAAUUACAAGGUAGGUCCUAUAACACUAAUGAGAUAGUUCACCAAUUUUUUCAUAUAUAUUUUAUAUUAAUAUUACUAAUAUUAAGAAAAUUAGGUAGGUCCUAAGACCUACCUACCUACAAAGUAGCUACGCCCUUGUCUACUGCAGAGGCUUGCAGAUGUGGUCCGCAGACUGCAGACAUUUGGGCUUCAGAAAAACAAACAACACCUUAAUCUUUGAAAUUGGUGAAAAGGUCUCAUCAUAAUCAACUCCCGGAGUUUGAGAAAAUCCCUUUGCAACCAGUCGUGCCUUAUAAGUGUGUACAUUACCAUCCAUGUCAGUCUUCUUCUUGAAGAUCCAUUUACACCCAACUGUCUUACGACCUGGUACAUUGUCAACCAAGUUCCAAACUUGAUUGUCAUACAUGGACUGUAUCUCGUUGUCCAUUGCCUCUUUCCAUUUAGCAGGCUCGGUGCCUGCCAUGGCUUCUGCGUAACUGCUAGGUUCAUCCAAACUUACCAAUGUCUCAUCACUGAUAAGUGUCUCACCUUCCGCAGUAAUAUGAGAACCAUAGUAGUGCUCAGGUGCAUUCCUAACCCUUGUGGAAUGCCUCAGAGGUACAGACUCGUCAAUUGGCUCAACAGGAGUUUCCUCCCCAGGUUGAGUGCUUGGGUUUGAAGUUCCUUCACCACUUGACUCUUGAAUUUAUUCAAGGUCAAUUUGCCUCUCACUGUUUCCUUGGCUUAUGAACUCUCUCUCUCUCUCUAUCUCUCUCUCUCUCUCUCUCUCUCUCUCUCAAGACACCCCUCCUUGCUACGAAGACCACAUUCUCACUAGGUCUGUAGAAGAGGAAACCAAAGGAUUUUUGGGGGUAGCCGAUGAAAAUAGACCACUCACUUCGUGGUUCGAGCUUAUCAUGAGUCUCGCGCCUCACAAAAGCCUCGCAACGCCAAAUCUUGAUGUGGUCUAGUUUGGGAACUUUACCAGUCCACAUCUCAUGAGGAGUUUUGGCAACUUUCUUAGUAGGGACCAGAUUAAGGAUAUGGGAGAUAGUAUCUAAGGCAUACCCCCAAAAUGAGAUUGAUAGCGAAGCUCGACUCAUCAUGGAACGAACCAUAUCCGACAGGGUUCGAUUAUGCCUCUCAGCCACACCAUUCAACUGUGGUGUCCUAGGAGGUGUCAAUUGUGAGAUUUUCCCACAUUCCUUAAGAUAGUUGAGGAACUCUAUACUAAGAUACUCACCACCAUGAUCAAAUCGAAGCAUCUUAACGUUCCUGCCCAAUUGAUUCUCGACUUCCUGUUUAAACUCUUUAAACCUUUCAAAAGUAUCUGACUUAUGCUUUAUUAAAUAGACAUAUCCAUAUCUACUAUAAUCAUCAGCAAAAGUCAAAUAAUAACGAUUAGCAUCCCUUGUGGCAGAUUUGAAGGGUCCAUACACAUCUGUGUGCACUAGAUCCAACAAACCUUCACCCCUAGCAAAAGAACCAAUGAAGGGUGACUUUGUUAUUUUUCCAAGUAAGCAUGAUUCACAACUAUCAUCUGACUUUAGGUCAAAUGACUCCAAGACUCCAUCCUUUUGGAGUUGGCCUAUGCGUUUAUUGCUCACAUGUCCAAGACGACAAUUCCAUAAUGAUGUUUUAUCUAAGUAAUUAUUAUUAGAAGAAUCAAUAAACAACACAUUAUUUCCUAGAUUAUCUACAAUAGACACAGCUUCAUACACACCAUCACAAGGUAAUGCUUUAAAAUAAAGAACAUUAUUAAAGAAAGCAUUUAUUUCGCCAAUUUCAUUUUCAAAAGAAAAGGUAAACCCUUGUAUGUACAAAGCAAGAAAGGAAAUAAUAUUUCUUGCCAUUUCUGGAAAAUAACAACAUUUAUUCAUAUCUAUAGUAAAUCCACUACUUAGAAACAAAGAAUAAACUCCAAUCUUGGUGACAGGUGAAGCUUUCCUAUUCCCCAUGAUCAAGUUUAUCUUUCCAUGCUCCACAUUCUCACUUCUUCUUAGUCCCUGCAAAUCAGAAUAAAUAUGAAUACCACAACCGGUAUCAAGGACCCAAGAGUUAGAAUAGGGUGAGUUAUUAGAUAGAAUAGUGUAAAUACCUGCAUGGUUGGGUUUGACUUUUCCAUCCUUCACAUCUUGCUGGUACUUUGGGCAGUUCCGCUUCCAAUGCGACUUUUCAUGGCAAUAGAAGUAUUCAGCCUCUUUUGGGUCAGAAGGAGUGACGAAACCUUUCUUGGUUCCAUUUGAAGGAGAGCCAUCAAGGGUCUUACCCUUGGUACCCUUCGAAGGGCUUUUCCUCUUCUUGCCUCUACCUUUCCCGAUUGUCAGGACAGGGGCGGAGUUUGGAGUAGGAGUAGGAGUGGUAACAACCUACUUACCUUUAAGACCUGUUUCUGAGGUCUUUAGGAGUCCUUGAAGUUUGCUGAGUGUGACUUCUUCCUUAUUCAUGUGGUAUGUCAUGCGGAAUUGAUCAUAAGAUGAGGGUAAGGAAUGCAAAAUUAUAUCUAUUGCUAGCUCCUCAGGGAAGUUCACAUUAAGCUUCAGCAAACAAUCCACAUACCUUUGCAUUUUCUGCAUGUGGCUCGUGACAUAUUCUCCAUCCUUCAUCCUGGUUGUUAUCAUGGAGGGGGUUAUUUCNGGAGGAGAUUAUUUCAUACUACUCUUUACGAGCACUUUGAUGGUAUCUUUCCAUCAUAUCUUGGUGCAUCUCAAAAGGGUAGUAGUCCUCAUAGGACUUCUGGAGUUCAGCUGUCAUGGUGGGCAUCAUGAUGCAUGCCAGUUUGGUGGCAUCUCUUUCAUGAGUCCAGAUGUUAGCGAUCUCCUGGGGAGUAGCAGUGGACUCAUCGAUCUCCUUUAGCUCCUUAUCGAGGAAAUAUUCCUUGUCCUCGUAGCGAGUCACCAUCCUGAUGUUCCGGAUCCAAUCAAUAAAGUUGGAACCAUCGAAGAUGACCUUCCCACAUUGGUUCAUGAAGGAAUAGGAGCCAGUAGGGUUUGACCAGAAGCAGUGUUGUUGGAAGACAUCUGAAAUAAAAAGAAAAAAUUUAGUUUAGAUAUAAAGAUAGUCCUUAAUAAAACACCCAAAUGUAAUAUUAUGGCUAGGAUCCAAUCACAAUAUAUCAUAACUUAGAAGAAGGACGUCGUAAUCUAAGCCAUAACAUAUUUGAAAGGUAAGUGAAUGGCGAUUCACCAAUUUCCACCAUGAAAAACGAACUAUAAAUAUUAGGUUUUAAUUGUUUCUUAGAAAUUCCUAGAUUCUUUUUGAGAUUCAAUGAACUUUUCAAAGGCAUUUUUCAAUCUCGAGUAUGCCCUCCAAGUUUUGUGACUGGGAUACCGAGGAUCACAAAACGAGAUGCGAAGUAACCAUGCAAAUCACUUUGUACCCUUAAUGUUUAUCGCUCAAUCGAUGUGCCGGUUAACCAUACGCGCUCCUCCGACCUAUAAUAAACCUUAAUUCAUCCUUUACCUACCUUGUUAAGUCCAUGUUAGUGUGCCGGUUAACCACACACGCUCCACUAACAACUUAAACAAAGUGUAAAGUGUAAUUUCAUGGAUUAGCACCUUAUUCACAUUUUCCUAAAGUAACUAAGAAUUGAAAUUUAAUAAAACAUUUAGUUACUUUAUAAUAAUCAUUAUACUUUUAAUGAGAAUUUUAUAAGUCUUUGUCCUACCCGUUCGGCUAACGACCCUCCACCAAUCAAGGAAGCGGUGGGUGAGAGUGGACACCCAUUAAGCUGCCAUUUUAUAGGCAGCAACCUUAUACCCCCUUAUAGACCGGCUUCGUGAAUGAGGCCUACUAACGGUAAGACAACUUGAUCUUAUACAUAUUGAUAUGGGCAUAUUUAGUUAUAAAAUUCAUGCAUUAUCUUAAUGCUUUAUGUUGAUUUUAUCUCAUUUAAUGAACAAAAGGUGAUUAAUUAGUUUGUAAUUUCAUUUUUCAGCAACAAUGAAAUGCUCGGAUGGAAAAGGAAGUGGAUUUAGCAAUUGGAGGCUUGGAUCUUGGAUUUUGAAGAAAGAANAACUUAACAAAACUCUUCAAUUCAUAAUUUAUAAGUUAUUAAAAUGAAGACUCUUCAGUUUUGUAACUUAUGUGUUCUUUUAAUGGGUUUAAUACAAGUGAUUUUUGGUUAUCCAUAACAUGAGGACAAGUUAUGGACUCCAUUAAAACACAUAAAAAUCAUGAAUUAAGCAUUCAAAAAGUAAUUCCUAUGAUUUAUCAAGAACUCAUAAGAACAUAAAUCUUCAUAUCAAAAUUUCAAGAACAUAUGAACAAAUAUAUUUGUGUAAUUUUGAUAUUAGCCAUUGAAAAUGGAUUAGAACAACCAUUACACCAUCUAAAACAAGUUUCAUAACACCAAAACAUUUUAGGGUAAUGUUUCUAGUCCAUUUCCAACAGCAAAAAUCGAAAUUCUGAACUCUGCAUGGCCAACUCGUCGAGUACAUGAACUGACUCGCCGAGUUGGUUGUAGUUUCACUUCGACUCAUCGAGUCCCCUGUGCAGACAGCUUAAAAAAUUCGAUUUUUACAUUAUUUUCCAUCAAGUAUAAACAAACAAGCCUAGUCUCUAAUACCACUGAUGGGUUAUGAGCAUUCUAACACCCUAAAUGUACAUGUAACCCUAGAAAACCUUGGAUCUAUGUUUGUCUAAAAUACAUGCAAAAUAUGAUUUCCAAGGUUCAUAAACCUAUCUAGCAUACAUGUGGAACUUUUAACAUAAAAGAUGGCUAGAAUUACAUACCUUGUAGUUGAUUUGAUUACUUGAAAACCUUGCGAGCCUAGCACCCCAAGUGUGAUGCCUCAAAUGUUUCACACAACACCAAGUGCUUCGGAAUAACUUUGGGAGAAUGUAGAACACUUACAAAAUCGGCUUGCCCUCACUAUCUUGCUUCUAGUUCCAAUUUUAGUGAGCUUCAUAUUUUUUAUAUAGGGUGUUACAAUUAGGGUUACACCAUCUAAUCCCUAAUGUAACAUGGCUCUUCAUUUCCAUGACCCAUAGGUAUGUAACUACCAUGGAGCAUCCUAUGGACCUUAGCCCAACUUGAUAAUCCAUGGAGCAUCUAGCCCACUAUACAAGUUAUGGAUGAUCUACAUAAUCAACCCAUAUAUUUAAAUAGUCUUCUUUUGAUCACUUAAUUAAUUCCAAAUUAAUUCUUGAUCAAUACUAAUUAAAUAAUACUCUUAAUAUAUUAGCACUGAUAAUAUAUUAAUAAACCACAAUUGUUAUUUCUCUCAUUUUAGUUUAUCCAAAUGCAUGAUGCCAUGCAACCCAAAUAGACCAUGUCGGGUCGGGUCAAGUAUAUACCAAAUAUAGUUAUGGACUUACACACCUUAUCCAACACGACGAACAACCAACCUUGAGCAAGGAGUUUGACAGACUAUAAUGGUUGAAAGUUUUAGAGAUUGAAGGAUGUUCUCAAGAUUCGUUGCAAAAGCUUAGUACCUUACAAACCCUAUAUCAACCCCAAAACAACAUAUACACUUUAAAAGUACUUAAAAAUCUGGGAUAACAUUCAUAUUUUCCUAGUUCGCAUAAACCCGAAGAAGAACAAAGAACUACUAGCUCCGCUACCAUCGUAGCAGAGAAAUCCAUAAUUCCAAAUCGAUCAUUCAGUAGUCUCCAAACUUCUCUCUCUAUUAUUUGAAAUCGGUAGAAUCUCAAUUCGCUCUCUAUAAUUUGGAACCUAAACAUAAAAGGAUCGAAGGUGACUGCUUACACCGUCCGAUUUAACGACCUCACAAAGGUUUGCCCGGGAAUGAUGAACCCGUAAUACAAAUAGACGGAAAGGUACAACUAGGGAUUAGCUUCACCAUUUCAAGGUCUGGUCACUGCAUCCAGACCCAGUACCAAUGGCAGAUCAGCGUAUAUGUCAGGGUAGCUUGACCGCAAAAAAAGAAAAGCACUAGGCUGAGAGUACAAAAAUGAAGUUCCAUGGCAAGUCAAAGGGGAACUUCGAGCAUCACAAACCUAGUACAUAACCUGUCUCCAUGUACGUUCUAAUCAUAAACACUACUACUCAAUAAAAGCCCUACUCUACGACUUUAUCUCACUAUACCAAGUGCAAUUUCCACCAUGUCGAAAAUUGCAUGGCAUGGAACAUCUAGAACUUAAGAGGUCACACCUCUAAGUUUUGCAGAAGAACCCGUAAAACAAAACCUCAACCCCUACUGCAGAUAGAAGCUAAAGUUGCUUCGAGUGCAAUAAACCAUGGAAUUUCAAGAAGGACUCCCCGAAACUAAAGAUUCAGGGUGACAAGGAAGAACAUUUGCGAUAGGUGCUGGAGAUGCUCGCCAAGAACCAACUGUGGUUAUUGAUAAGUUUCCUAUCAACAAUAAUUAUACAUUCGUAUUAUUUGAUACUAGUAUCGAUAGAAGCUUCAUUUUCCCAUGAGUUUAGAAACAUGAUUUACCAUAAAUCAUGAAAACUUAUCAAAACUUACCGGGAGAAGUAGAAAAAAGCCAGUUAGAAAACACCUUAGAUAUACUCAUUAAUUGCAUUCUCACCUUGAAUAACCACAUCUUUCACGACAAUUUAAUACCUAUGACCAUUGGAAGUUUUGAUGUGAUCAUCAAAAUGGAUUGGUUAUCACUUCAUAGAGCAGAGAUUUUAUGUUACGAAAAGUCCGUUCGACUACCUUUAACCAACAACAAAAAUCAUGUGAUUUACAGACAUAAGUGUGGGAAGAACCUAAGAACCAUCUCCUGCAUGAAGGCAAAGAGGUGGUUACAGAAGAGAUGCUUCACUUUCUUGGCCCACAUGGUGGAUAUGCAAGACAAGCUUAUGGAAAUCAAAGACAUACUGCAAGUGUGAUAUUACUCGGACAUAUUUCUAGAAGAUCUACCUGCAGUACCUCCAGUUAGACAGGUUGAAUUUCGAAAUGACCUAAUUCCAUGUGCAGCACCAGUGGCAGGAUCUCCUUAUCGUCUGGCUCCAUCGAAAAUGCAAGAACUAUCUAGUCAACUUUAAGAACUUCUUGACAUAGUCCUUAUCCGACCAAGCUUCUAUUUAUGCGGAACUUUGGAAUUGUUUGUCAAAAAUAAGGAUGGAUCAUUCAGGAUGUGCAUCGACUAACGAGAGUUGAAUAAAUUCGCCAUCAAAAACCAAUAUUCACUCCCGAUGAUCGAUGACCUGUUCGACCAACUACAAGGAUCCCGUUACUACUCAAAGAUCGAUCUAAGAUCCGGCUAUCAACAACUUAGAAUCCAAUAAGCAGACUUGCAAAGACAACAUUCAGGACUCGGUACAAUCACUACUAGUUUCUAGUUAUGCCAUUCGGACUAGCCAAAGAUGCCAACCGAAGUAAGCAAAUCCUUGGGCUUGCAGACUAUUAGCCGAAAUUCAUCAAGAACUUCUCCCAAAUAGCCAAUCCUCUCACCGCUCUUACCUAGAAAGACAAUGAUUUCGAUCGAGGAGACAACAAGAGUCUGCCUUCGAGAAAUUGAAACAAGAGUUGUGCAGUGCACCAAUUUUGGCUCUUAUAAAGGGACAUGAGACAUUGUAGUAUUCUGCAACGCCUCACAACAAGGGUUAGGAUGCAUAUUGAUGCAAAGGAAUAAAAUCAUUGAACACGCAUCCAGACAACUUAAUCCAAACAAGGCCGACUACAUUACUAAUGAAUUAGAGUUGGGAGCUGUAGUGAUUUCCUUAUAGAUUUAGAGGCACUACCUCUACGGGGAGAAGUGUGUCGUGUUCACCGAUCACAAAAGCCUUCAACACAUCUUCAACCAGAAGGAGUUCAACAUGAGACAACGAAUGUGUGUCGAAUUAGUAAAUGAUUACGAAUGUGAAAUUCAUUAUCAUACUCGUAAACAAAAAUGUUGUAGUAGACGCUUUAACCUGGAAAGAAGAAGCAAAGCCACUUCAUGAGAAAACCUUAACCUUAACCAUCCACUCCAAUCUUACCAGCCAAAUUCUAGAUGCUCAGCUGGAAGCACUCAAACCCGAGAAUAUCAUGGAGGAAAACAUGUGAGGCAUGGGUAAACAUUUUGACCUCAUGGAAUACGGAACACGAUAUCUCAUGAGUCGAAUUUGGACACUAGAGUUUGGUGAAGUCAGGAGUCUAGUCUUAAAUGAAGCUCAUGAAUCGAAACAUUGUGUACAUCUCGGAUCAGAUAAGAUGUAUCUCUACCUCAAGAAGCUUUAUUGGUGGCCCAACAUGAAGGCAGAGAUUGCCAUCCAUGUCAGUAAAUGCUUGACUUGAUCCCGAGUCAAAACAGAGUACCAAAAAUCCAUUUGGUCUACCACAACAAUCUCCAAUCCCAGAACGGAAGUUGGAACAAAUAAUCCUGGACUUCAUAAAAAAGUUGUCAACAACUUUAAGCGGAUACGACGAUAUUCAGGUAGUUGUCAAUUGUUUGACCAAUUCCUAGCCCUGAAAAUGAAACGAACAAGAUGGAGAAACUCACCAGGACCUAUAUCAAGGAGGUAAUCAUACUAAAUUGUGUGUUAAUAUCUACUAUCUCAGACCGAGAUAGUAAAUUCACUUUCAUAUUCUGGGAAUCAUUACUAAGGUUCCUAGGAAACAAACUCAACGUAAGUAUUACACAUCAUCCACAAACGGAUUAUCAGAGUGAAAGAAUGAUACAAACUCUAGAAGUUAUGCUUUGUGCUUGAGUGAUGGAAUUUGGUAAUACACGAGAUACUCACAAGACACAAAACCAUAGAAUUCAAAGUAGGAGAUCGUGUCCUACUAAAAUUCGCACCAUGAAAAGGUGUCAUUCGAUUUGGAAAACGUGCCAAACUAAACCCCUGUUACAUUGUACCUAUUCAAAUCCUAUCAAGAGUUGGUCCAGUGACUUACAAACUCAAUUUACCUCAAAAACUUAAUAAAGUUCAUGAUACCGUCAACAUAUUAAAUAUUAAAAAGUAUCUCUCUAUUGAGAACCUCGUCAUUCCUCUUGAUAGGAUCCAGGUCAAGAAUAAGCUUCACCUCUUGAAGGAAUCGAUGGAGAUCAUGGAUCGAGAAAUCAAAAGCCUCAAACAAAGCCACAUACCUAUAAUAAAUGCCCGAUGGAACUCUCGUAGAGAGCCGACGUUUACUUGGGAACGUAAGAAUCGGAUGAAACAAAAACAUAUAAAGAACGUCCCAAACGGUGUUCGUAUACAAAAGAUACGACCGUUUUAAGAAUCCAAAACCAAUAUAAUACUAAUUCUUUUAAAAUAACUAAAAAUUGUUUCCAUCCGUUGAGGGACUUGCACACCUCAAAUAGGAAUUCCGAAAGCAUUUUUGGACUCAGACUAUAGCUUAAUAUUUAAUUUCAUAUUUGAAAUAUUUUUAGUAAAAUAUUUAUAAAGUGGAAAAAUCAGAUGUUUUCAGAUUUAGUAAUCGCGAAACCUUAAACUAUUGAUUUCGAUAUGAUUUUAAUUAUUGGCAAUAUAUUCUGGAAAUAAUAUAUUAUUAUCCAAUCCAGAUAUUACAAGUCUUAAUGCAGAGAUAACCCAAAAUUUGUAAAAUCAUGUACAUCUAUAUAUACAUAUAUAUGUUAGGAACAUAUUUAUCAAAAAUCUAUUAUGUAUUUGCUAUAAUUUUUAUAAAACCAUAUUGCAUAUGACAAAUAGUCAAUCAAGUAUUCACAAUGUAUAUAUGAUAUAUAAUUAAAAUUAUAUAACGACACUAACUAUAUAAAUAUUUAUAUAUAAGUCAUAUGAUUUUUCCAAAUACCAAAUGCUAGUAUAUAUGAAAAAAUUUGAACACUUAUUAUGUACAAAUAUUCAAUUUUUUAUAUAUCUCAUUAUGUUAUAUAUGUGUCAAUUUUUAUACAAAUGUUUAACAAAUUAAUGAAUUUCAAAUUUCCUAACAUUUAAGUUUAAAUUUAUAUAAUACACAAAUAUGUAAACUACUACAAUAAACUAGUACAAUAAAUCAAUACAUAUCCAAAUUCAACUAAAUACAUACGCAUUGAGUAAAUUGUACAAAUCAAUACACAAAGCUAUAAACAUAAAACACACAAUAUAUAAAAACAAUCAAACCAAUUAUAUAAGCACAAAGUUAUCAACUAAAUACAUACGCAUAGAAAAAAAACUUUUGCUUCAAUUUACACCCAAAGAAAACACAAAAUAUAUAAAAACAAUAAAAAAUCAAACGUAUUAUAUAAAAAUUACAGCCAAAAACCAUAAAAAUCAAACCAAUUAUAUAAAAAUUACAGCCAAAAACCAUAAGUUGCUUCAAUUUACACCCAAAGAAAAAACAAAAUAUAUAAAAACAAUCAAAAAUCAAACCAAUUAUAUAAAAAAUUACAGCCAAAAACCAUAAAAAUCAAACCAAUUAUAUAAAAAUUACAGCCAAAACCCAAAAGUUUACAUCCAAAUAACAAAGCAUCCAAUUCUACACACAAUGGAAAAUACUACACUCAAACUCAAAAGAAAACGUGUUUCCUUUUCUCAAGUGAAGCUGUCACAGGAACAGCCCCUAACACCCUUGUCUUCUACGUUUCCUGUUAAUAAGCCUCCAUAUUUCCUUUCAUCCUACAUCGACAAGAAUACUCUUGUUCUUGACUUCGGGUAUACCAGCAAACAGGAAUAACAACAACACGAUUUUGUUUACUUUUCCUUCCCUGUCAAAUGAAACAAACCCAAAUUCCCUUCAUUAUCAUUGAUUUCCCAGCAAACCCAAACACCCCAAUGAUUUCUAUCAAACAAACAAACAAAAUCCCAAAAGAAUUUUUUUACCUGUGGUUGAUUCGGAACUGCCAAAACAAUGGGAAAACAUCGUGAUUUUCGAGCAAACACCACCGAGAUCCUCACCUGCGACGAAUGGCGGCCGACCGGACUCCCAUCGGACCCCCUUUCCCCUCGUUUUCUUCCUCUGCUGUUCGCAUCGACCACAGAGAUCAGAUGGCCUCGUCUUCGCUACUACCGCUUUUUGCAACGCCCGGACCUUACACCUCGCAUCCGGAAGUGACGAGCAAAACUUCGCUGCUUCUUCAUGCCCUCCGUCUCUUCAGUCUCGUCGACCCGGAGACUAAUACCUCUUCGCGAAUCGACGGACGAAGCGCUGUCUGCGAGCUUCAUUCUCCUUCGGUCUUCUCUGUGGUCUGCGACGAGCAAGGACCGGAUGCAGAGCCGCGACCUCGUGCUUUCCUUCUCGCCAUUUUUGUUCAUCUGCCUUCGUGUUCAUUUUCCCUCUCGUCGCCUUCAUCCAUUCGUAUCCUCUUUUUUUUCAUUGCCCGAUCUAACGAAGAACACGGGGGAUUAAAAAGCCCUAAGUCAUUUUAAUUAGAAAAUGACCAAAAUGCCCUCCCUAUUAAACCAUGUCUUCAAAAUCCGUCCCAACCCCAAACAAUGAACCCAUUUGUUUAAAUCAACCCCUCGUUUGUUAAUUUUUUUUUACCAAAACAAUCUUAUUCGUUAAAUUAAACUACCAAACAGCUCCUAUAGUUUAGCGAAAUUACAAAACAACUCAUAUAGUGUAAGUUUGUUACAAAACGGCCUCGAGAGUAUUUCAAAGUUCAAGAAUUAUGUAUUGCGUUUUCACAUGUCAAGCUUCUCAAAGGAAACCGAAUUUAAACAAAUGUAACUCACGCUUCGAGGGUGAGUGCUUACGGCCCCUUUCUAAAAUUUUAAUAAUUUUAGAAACNUACAAUAAAUCUAGUUUAUAAAAAUGUUAUUUAAUAACGUAACACAUUUUUACAAAGAAGCUAGUAUAAACUUUUCGUAUACAUAUAAUGGAUUUUUUAUCGUGAAAUAAUUAGUCCACACGAUAAAUGCUAUAUUAUACAAAAAUAUAUGAUUUUUAUGUGACAUUGUAUACUAUGACAAACACGUUAUAACACAUUGUACUAUUUCAAGGAUUCAAGCCAUUACUAUACAUGUAUAUUUAUAUGUUUAAAUGCAUAAAGUUUAUACAUGUACACAUGUUCAUUAUUUUGAAACAUACAUCUUUAUAAAAGCAAGUACAUUACACUUUUACAUACAUACCAAGCAUACUCGGCUUUUAUAAACUUAAUACAAUGAAACUCAUUAUGCCAAGUGACUUAAUCACAAUUAAGCUAGGACUGAAAGUUAUUCACAAACAUUUUAGUUAAGAACUUUUUAGUGAGGCGUUAUUCAUUAGCUGAGUCUAAACACUUAGCAUACCCACAAUAUUGUAACUAUUAAUCUUUGGAGUGAGAUACAUAUGUAUAGAUCUAUAUGGGGUUGACAUCCCCACCAAUGAUUGCUAGCUACAACCUCGGCCGAUCAAUCGAAGCGGGUUAUAAGUGCCUAUGAUCGUUACUUUAAUGUCCAAUGAAGUGUUGUAGUGGGUGAACUCAGUCACAUAGCUCCGUUAUAGGACUCACUAUAAACAUUAACCAAAAUAUCUCUCUCUCUCUCUCACACACACACACUACCAACCAUGGGCUUGGGUGCUUUCAAACCUAUUUUAAGUAUGAAAUUACUUAUGUAACAUAACAUUUUGGUUUUAAAGGAUAUUAAAAGAUUCUUUACAAAUACAGUUUAAAAUAUGGAUUUACUUAUACAAAAAUACAUUUUGGCUUUUAAAGACUCAUUGCAAACAUUGUUUUAACAGUUGAUAUACAUGCAAAGAAAAUACGUUUUAGACUUAUUAAAAGUAUUACUACUGUUAGCAGAAAACUAGUAACACCCACCAACCUUUUGUUGACCCUCAAAACUACCUGUAUUCUCAAGAAAUUACAAAACUAACAUUCAAGACGGAUUGUAUUACAAGUGACCUAGUUUACUUGUUGUUGUAUUAUAUGCCUAUCUGUUAAAGUAAUUCAUGUAUUGUUGUUAUUUGUAAAAACCUUGUAUUCAAAUAUCAAGAUGGAGCACGAAUCUAAUAUUUUUUAUUGUUGUACUUGUACUAUAAACCCCACCAAUGAUAAUAUAUAGGAGUUAUAUAUACUCUAACCCGCGAUAAGAACACUUAAUAACACUCAAACAUGCCUCCAACUAAAACUACCAACUCAACCCUUUAGGUCCAACGCCUCAACUAAGGUUAGUACCGUACAUAAGCCAUAUCAUAAAUAAAACUGGAACAUACACAUACGUUAUUUAUGGUUGGGCCGAUGUGAUGAGUUAUGAGCAUUCUAACACCCCUAAGUGUACUUGCAACCCUAAAAAACCUUGGAUCUAUGUUUGUCUAAAAUACAUGUAAAAUAUGAUUUCUAAGGUUCAUAAACCUAUCUAGCAUACAUGAGGAACUUUUAACAUAAAAGAUGGCUAGAAUUACACACCUUGUAGUUGAUUUGAUUCCUUGAAAACCUUGAGAGCCUAGCACCCGAAGUGUGAUGCCUCAAAUGUUUCACACAACACCAAGUGCUUUGGAAUAACUUUGAGAGAAUGUAGAACACUUGCAAAAUCGGCUUGACUCUCUAUCUUGCUUCUAGUGCCGAUUUUGGUGAGCUUCAUAUCCUUUAUAUAGUGUGUUACAAUUAGGGUUACAACAUGUAAACCCUAAUGUAACAUGGCUCUUAAUUUCCAUAACCCGUGGGUUUGUAACUCCCACAAAACAUCCAUGGAGCAUCCUAUGGACCUUAGCCCAACUUGAUAAUCCAUGGAGCAUCUAGCCCACUAUACAAGUUAUGGAUGAUUUACAUAAUCAACCCAUAUAUUUAAUUAGUCUUAUUUUGAUCACUUAAUUAAUUCCAAAUUAAUUCUUGAUCAAUACUAAUUAAAUAAUACUAUUAAUAUAUUAGAACUUAUAAUAUAUUAAUAAACCACAAGUGUUAUUUCUCUCAUUUUAGUUUAUUCAAAUGCAUGAUGCCAUGCAACCCAGGGUCGGGUCAAGUACAUACCAAAUAUAGUUAUGGACUUAGACACCUUAUCCAACAGUCUCCCACUUGGAUAAGUCUAAUAACUAUAACUACAAGUAUGACUUCAGGAACCGAUCAGCAAUCAUAGCUUUUUCAAGGUCUCUUGGAACUGAGAAGAUGAUGAUACGCCAUUUAAGAUAAUUGAUCAUAUAAUCCUCUGUUCUAGAUAUCAGUUGGACAAAUUCGUGGAACAAUGUCUUACUUAUUGUCCAGCAGUUUGUUUCCUGAUUUCCGAUUUUUUGACAUAAAACUAAACUGAACACAUCAAUUCGGUUCUGACCGGGCCCGGUACAUAGGUCAAAACAAAAUCAUCGAGGGGCCCAGAUAUCCGCUUCUAAUCCAAGAUGGAAAAUAUAAACUUCGACUCAUAUGCUUGUUCUACUACUUGUUGAAUCACACACAAAAUUACGUUUUAUAACAUCGAGUUACCAAAUGCAUUUUCGUACGAUCAAUGCAUAACCAACUCAUAGGCAACAAGUCAUAUUUCUAGGUUUGAAGACUUAUAUGAUAUUACCAUCUCAUGAUCACUCGAGAUAAAUUCCAUGAAGUGAUACCAGUGAGCGUGGGUUGAAUCCAAUACUCAGAACUUAUGAGCACUCAUGAAUGUUGUAGCCAUGUCCAACAACUUAGAUCUCUGCAACCAACUCAUGAUAGUCUUGAUUCAUACCUACUUCCAACAUAUGACUGACUGUGGAGAAUUCGAAUAAUAUGAUAUACCAAACAUAAUUAUUCUGGAAGUCAAAACCUGCAAAAGAAAUAUAGUAAACGAUCACUACAAGAAAAAGACCCUUUUACGACGCGCAAACCAUGACACUCAUUGAUUUAUGUUACGCAAAAGAGAGUGACAAUAAAAAAAUGUCAUCUCUUCAAAAAAUUUAAGGAUUUAGGUCACGCAUUAUUGUGUGCCCUUAAAUUAGUGUCUCAUGUAAAAAAACUAAAAAACACGGAGGGCACUUUAUCUAAAAUGUGCGACGUCUGUGAACGUCGCUUUAUGUUUUUUACUCAAAACGCGCGUUCUUGAGGAAAUCCUCCUGAAAUUCUAAAAUUCUUAAAAUUUCUAAAAUUUUGAAGUACCCCGCUUUCCACUCUCUUAUGUAGGUCUCCCUUCAUUCUCUCCCUCCCUUCUCUAUACAAACCCUAAGCCAUUCCAUUGCCACCACCAUGAACCCUAAAAACUCUCCUUAUAUUGGGGAUAAACCACCCCGAUUAAAGGAAAAAUAUCAUAUCGAGGAUCCCAAUCGCAAUAUUGCUUACAAGAAAUUUUUGGAGUCUAAAAGCCCUAAUAUCAAGUUGAGCUAUGGAUUAUUUACAUUCGGAGCUUGAUGCUACGGAAACAAAAUGCGACCCAGCCUACCACGAUACCUAAAUCUAGCAAUGAAACUAUGGAGGAGAAAGGGUUUGCUCUUCUUCCGAUCAGAUAUGGUUCAGGGGUUUACUUCAUUCGAUUAGGUCAAAAAAAACCCUAGAAAAAUCCAAAACAUCAUCAACAAUGAACAUACAUCUUCUGCUAAACCUCACAAACGACCUUGCCUCUCCAAUCGGCAACCUCGUUCUCUAUUGAAAACCUCGAUAUGUCUAAGUUAUCAUUAUUUGAUGAGGAUGGUUCCCGGUCGCCUUGAAGCUUCGAGAGAAUCCAUUGGAUGGAUCAGAAGAGGCGAAGACAUGGAUCAACUUGUGCUUUUACAUCACAAGUGAGUCACAUCUACGGUUGUUUUUCCUGAAAUUCUCAAUUCUUGUGCUCUUUUCAAUAGCAGGGGAAGCUUUGAGGGUUUUAGUUUAUGUUCACUUCAUUGGAUGGAUAAGAAGAGGUGAUGCAGAGUUUGUGCGACUCAAGGUAUUGAAGCUACAGGGGUUAGAGCCAAGGGAAUGGGUAUGUUGGAGGGAUAACUUCCUAGUUCUACAAUGUCUAACGCUUUAUCAUUGCUUAAAACUCAAGAGUAUCCCUUUGGAUGUAGGGAGGAUUUUGACGCUAGAGUGAUUGAGAUAAUGGGGUGUAGCAUCUCCAUUAAUCCCUCUGCAUUAAAAAUCAAAGAAGAGCAAGAGAGUGAAGAGAACUUCUUCUUGAAUGUCCAUGCAACCAACAAUGUUUCAGGAAAUCGCUAAAUGAGCUCAGGAAAAUUUGACAUUCCCAGGUUAGUAUCUUUUUUUAAUACGUACCUGCAAAUUGUUUAAAUCUUAUUGGCUAGACCAUUCAUAUUCACCCAAUCACUCAUUUACAAAUGAAUUUGGUUUUAUAUUAUUUUCUAUCAUGAAUUAUGUUUAUUUAUCUACAGGGUGAAGAUAAAUCAACUGGGUUCGGUUUCCAAAUGACUAAUCCUGCUUGUGACAUAUUAUGUGGACGUUAUAUACGAACUAAAUAAGAUUUUAAAUUAAUGAUUCUCAAAAAUGUACAUGAUUGAUUAUUGUCAGGUAUGUGUUUAUGUCAAAUUGUUAGCAAAUUUUGUUCUUUUUAUUUGUGAAUUAGGAUGACAUAUAUGGUGAAUCUUUCCUGUAGCUUGUUUUUACGUAUCAUACCAAGUAAAAAAGCGAUUUUUAAUUUGGAAAACUGAAGUUUAUGUAUGGAUAUAUCUCUGCUGGAGCUUUAUUUACGUAUGGAUAUGUCAAAAAUGUAAGCGAUUUUAUGUUGCCUGUUUUUACGUAUCAUACCAUGUAACAUAUAUGGUGAAUCUUUUUAUGUAGCCUAUUUUAAUUAUCAAAAAAAGAAAAAGGGAGUCAACAAGGUUUGACCCGUAUUUGUUUACAUGAAGGCGAUCUGUCUCCAGACUGUAUGGAUCCUUGCUCCUAUACCAAAUCAUGCAAUGCAGUGGACUCUUGGAUUUCUUACAAAGGUAUCUUUUAGUUGUAUUUAUUCUUAUGAGAAUAUGUUAUUUGUAUAUAUAUAUAUAUAUAUAUAUAUAUAUANAAACUAAAGUUUAUGUAUGGAUAUAUCUCUGCUGGAGCUUUAUUUACGUAUGGAUAUGUUAAAAAUGUAAGCGAUUUUAUGUAGCCUGUUUUACGUAUCAUACCAAGUAACAUAUAUGGUGAAUCUUUUCUGUAGCCUAUUUUAAUUAUCAAAAAAAGAAAAAGGAGUCAACAAGGUUUGACCCGUAUUUGUUUACAUGAAGGCGAUAUGUCUCCAGACUGUAAGGAUCCUUGCUGCUAUACCAAAUCAUGCAAUGCAGUGGACUCUUGGAUUUCCUACAAAGGUAUCUUUUAGUUGUAUUUAUUCUUAUGAUAAUAUGUUAUUUGUAUAUAUAUAUAUCAACAUAAAUCUAUGUGGACAGAGAUGGGGAAGUGAUCAUAUUGCAUUGGUUGCUGAGUUGGCUUUCAAUAAAGCCGUGAAUGAUGAAACAUCACAAGAUGUUCAGGUAAGGAUCUUUUCAUCUUCCUUUUAUGUUAGUGGCAUGUAAACUUGAAUAUCAGGUUAAAGUAACGAUAAAUGAAGAUUUUGUGAUGAUUUUUCAAAACAUGCAGGAACUAGUUGUUGUUGAAUAAGAAACCCGUUUUCUUGUGCAGAAUUGUUGGGUUCCAAAUGCACCCAGGGGUAAAGGUGUCAGUGGAAAAUCUCCAUUAGACUGUGAAACGGACAUUAGACAGAUGUCAUGAAUUUCAAAGAACUUGAAAAAGCUGCCUCACUGAGCCUUUAUUUAUGGACAUGUUCCUAUCUAGAUCAUCCCACUUUAAUGAUAACACAAACACACAACAAAGCCCUUCAUUGACCAACUUUGACUCAUAUCCACCUGAUACACUAAACCAUUCAUCUGAUCAAGGUAAAGGUGAUGAUGUCUGGCCAAUUAGGGGUCAGGAGCAGGAAUUAUAACUUGAUGUCAUGACCAAUUAGGGGUAAGAAAGGGAAAGUGAAUGGAAUCAGAAAUGGACGUCCUAAAAUUGGGCGACCCACGGUAUCUGGGAACGGUGAAAGAAAGAGUAAAGCAAAGAUAAAACAGAAAACAAGUCAGGUAUCUUCAGUUCCGAUUCCGGUUCCGAUUCCGAUUCCGAUUCCGAAGGUGGAGGAGAAGGAAAAGAAUGAGUGUAUGUUAUUGUUAGAGGAUCCACUUGAUUUGUCCCACCUUCAACUACCCGAGUUUGAUGUGGAUGUGGGACAAGGACAGGACAUAGGUUCAUGGUUGAACAUUGGAGAUGAGGUGUUACAAGAUGAUGACUUUUUGGGACUUGAGAUUCCAAUGGAUGAUUUAACAGAUUUGAAUAUGAUGGUUUGAAAAGUUUGUUGUUAUGUUNAGUUGUACUUGACAGAGAGGUACUAGGAAGCUUCAUGAACAAAUAGAAGAAGUUCAAUCUUUGCAGGGGUAUAGCAAACAGGAAAUAUCUAAGCUCACUGAGCAGAUGCAUAAAUCAUAUGAAGAGCAUGCAGGUUAAGCGAAUCACUGAAAUGGUAUUCCUAUUGCUAAAUUUGAUAUAUAUAUAUAUAUAUAUAUAUACAUAUAUAUAUAUAUAUAUAUAUAUAUAUAUGAUGUGACCAGGGCAGCUGUUGUUGGUAAUCCUCCCUGACUAACACCUAAAUGUGGUGGUAAUCCUCUAUUAUUGUUCCCCCUUUUUUUAAUAUCGUUUUUGGUUAAUAAUUUCAGGUACACAAACACAAGUCUUGCUAUCAUUUUCUCAAGUUCUUUUUGGGAUUCAUUUGUUCUUUAAAGUAACUGUGUGUUUUGGUGUUGUGUGUGUAUGGCAGCUGGGGAAUUUUAUACACUAUAUGGCGACAUUUGUGUCUGGUUUUGUGGUGGGAUUCACAGCAGUUUGGCAAUUGGCGCUUGUAACACUAGCUGUAGUGCCUCUUAUUGCAGUAAUCGGAGGUAUUCACACAACCACAUUAGCUAAACUCUUUUCUAAAAGCCAUGAAGCUCUUUCACAAGCUGGAAAUAUCGCUGAACAGGUGAAUCACCAUAUUCUUAAUUUUUAUUCAAUCUUUUCCCCCUUUUAGCCUAGGUUUUUAGGCCAAUAGUAAAAUUUUCACUGUUCAUCGUCUCGGUUUUGCUUAAUUAACAUAUUUUAAUGUAAAACGUUUUUGUCAUCUGGAUGGAUGACAAAAUCUUUUAUGAAAUCCAAGACAUUAAGAAAACACCAAGUUUUCCUCUUUCUUUUUCUAUCUGGAUGUUGAUAGUUUGAACUAAAUUCAAGAAAAAAAAAGUUUAAAACUUUUUUUGUUUCUCUAUCUGGGUUGUCAUGAACUUGUGCUAAAUCAAGCAAACAAAAUUUUCUUCUUCUUGUUGUUUUCCUACAUGGGUAUUGCUGAUUUUGAGGUGAAUUCAAGGGGAAAGAUAUAACUUUUUUGUUUCUUGUGUUUCUAUCUUUACUUGUCGUGAACAUAAGCUAAAUCAAGAAAAAGAUUUUCUCUCCUUUCCCAUCUGGGUGUUCCUGAUUUUGAGUUGAAUUCAAGUAAAAGUUAAUUUUCUGUAUCUGUUUUCCAUAUGGGUGCUGAGGGAUUGCAGCUAAAGUCAUGCAAUUAUUGUGUGUAAUAAAAAAAACCGUGUUUUACCAUCUGGGUAUUUCUUAAUUUAUCCAAAUAUGCAGACCAUCGUACAAAUUCGGACUGUUUGAUAUUGUGAAUGAAAAAUCGCUUGAAGGGGGUUAUGAAUAGGUGAAAGUGAAACCAUAAAUGGAAGUGGAUAAUAAUAAUAAUAACAAUAAUAAUAAUAAUAAUAACAACGGUUGAUAUCAUAGUUUGAAGAUAAGAAAGUAGAGAAUUAAUGGAAUGUAAAGAGCAUAUGGGGGCUCCUCAUUGCAGGAUUGUAAGAAAGCAUCUGAAGAAGUAAUGCCAGUUAUCAUUAACAAGCUUCAGUUAUAUUCAUGGUUAAUUUAUUUCUAAUAAUAUUAUUCAGAUCCUUAUAUAGUCGUUUCGCAUAUAUGUCUUUUAAGAUAACGUUUCUUCUGAAUCUCAAUGAAUACAAGCAAAAGCGGAGGCUGUAAUGCUUCUUAAGAAGUUAGAUUUUCCCAUAUGUAACUCGUCAUGUCCGAUCAUUAGCCUAUGCAUGCAAUGCAUGACAUGGAAAGCAAAACAACUUCAUUUCAUUUCAUGUGCUCUCCACCUGUACAUGCCAUCUUUUAUGUAUACUUACUAUUAGUUCGUUGGUCAAANGAUUUGUGCUUCCACCUGUACAUGUCAUCUGCUUUCUUGCUAAGAAUGGUGAGUUGAAAACUUGAUUUCUUUCUUGAAUACAUUGAGUGAUGUUGAUGAUUUGAAGGUUAGUGGCAUUCUUUUCAAUUACAUUUUAUAAGAAGCCAAGUUCCAUGGAGAUUCUGAUGAUAAUAAAAUAGGAUGUUUAUUGACAUAUAUACCCUUUCUACCAAAUCUAUAAAAAAUAAAAUCGGUUUAUAAAAUUUUGAACUUUUUGAGUAUUAUUGCAGGGGUGGAUAAUCGCAAAGGAGAGAAAAAUGGCUAAAGCAAAUUGAUCAACUAUUGAAAAAUUUGCUAGAUUGGUAGGUUUAAAAGUAGAAUGUCCUAAUAAGAAUUAAUUUUAAAAGUAGAAUAAAAAUAACAAGUGAUUUUGUGUUGUGUUUACAGGGUUGAUAAAAUCGAAUAGUUCUGGAGUGAGAAGAGGAAAAGAAAGCUCAUGCAGAAAGAGAUAAGAAGCUGCAAAUGCAAGUGUUGCAUUCUUCAUUUCAAUUAUUACUAUGAAACACAGUAGAUUAGAUGAAUGCAAAUUUAUAUAUUGUAAAAAAUAGAAUUGUAUGAUAUUAAAUUUUAUACAAUGGAUUGUCUUUUUUGUAUAUGAUAUUUUUUUCUAUUAUGAGACAUUAAAUGCAAAAUUAAUUUAAAAAUUAAUAAAUAUUUUUUUUUGAACAUUUAAGUUUACGAUACGCAAAAAUGUGUGUCAUCUUCAUUUAUGACAUGGCCUUUCUUGACAGGGAUUUUAAUGAUACCUAUUGCGCGUCGUCUCUCGUUAUGGCAGGGCCUUCCUUGACGCGCAUUUGCGCGUCGUCUGAGCGUUUUACGAUGCGCAAUGAGCGUCGUAAAAGGCCUUUUUUCUAGUAGUGGAUUGACAAAAGAUAACAACACUUUACUCAUAAAUAAACACAACUUUUAUUCAUCAUCAAAUGUCAAUUACACUUUACAAAUUUCAAAAUUAUCUAACUACUAAUACUAAAAUCAUCCUUUAGACCAAUGCUCCGAGCAUGCUGGAGAUGCUUAACCCGACUCAGUCCCUUCGUGAGGGGAUCUGUUGGGUUCUCAUCUGAUGAUACCCUCUUUGCUACGAGGAGUCCUUUUUCUAUUCGAUGUCUGAUGAAAUGGUAUUUUAUGUCGAUAUGUUUGGAUAUCCCAUGAUCCCUUGGUUCCUUGGCUAAGGCAACUGCACUUUCACUAUCACAGAAAAUUUCCAUUGGCUCCUUUAUAGCUGGUACAACUCCCAGGGCUCCAAUGAAGUUCUUCAGCCAUAUCACCUCCUUUGCUGCCUUGCUUGCUGCUAUAUACUCUGAUUCGCAAGUUGAAUCACCCACUGUCUCCUGCUUGGAACUUUUCCAAGUAAUUGCUCCUCCGUUUAAGGUAAAGACCCAGCUUGACUGAGAACGGAAAUUAUCUCUAUCAGUCUGAAAGCUCGCAUCAUUAUACCCUACAACUCUCAAGUCAUCACUCCCACCGAGGUUAAGGACCCAGUCCUUCGUCCUCCGCAGGUACUUGAGGAUAUUCUUUACCACAGUCUAGUGAGCCUUGCAAGGGUUCCCCUGAUAUCUGCUGACCAUGCUCAAGGCAAAGGCCACAUCAAGACGAGUGCAGGUCAUAGCAUACAUGAUCGAGCCUACUGCAUAAGCAUAAGGUACUCGACUCAUUUCUGCUAUCUCAGUCUCAUUACUCGGGCUCUGAGUUGUACUCAGUUUGGCGUUACUCUGGAUGGGUAACUCUCCUUUCUUGGAAUCUUGCAUGCGGAACCUUUUCAACACCUUAUCCAAAUAGGUAGUCUGACUAAGUCCAAUUAGUCUUUUACUCCGGACUCUUUGAAUCCUUAUCCCCAGAAUAUAGGCAACUUUUUCUUGGUCUUUCAUAGAGAAACACUUCCCAAACCAGGAUUUUACUUCCUGCAAGGUUGGGAUGUCAUUUCCUAUGGGUAGUAUGUCAUCCACAUGUAGUACCAAAAAGCUAACUAUACUCCCACUAGCCUUGACAUAGACACAAGAUUCAUCUUCACUCCUUGAAAAGCCAAAAUCUUUGAAUUUCUCAUCGAAGCAAAGAUUCCAUCUACGAGGUGCCUUUUUCAAUCCAUAAAUGGAUUUAUCGAGCUUACACACUUUAUUAGGGUAUUCCGUACUGACAAAACCCUCUAGAUGACUCAUGUAAACAUCCUCAGCCAAACUUUCAUUAAUGAAGGCGGCUUUGACAUCCAUUUGACAUAUUUCAUAAUCAUGAAAUGCAGUGAUGGCUAAUAGAACCCUAAUGGACUUAAUAUUUGUGACUGGUGAAAAGGUACCAUCAUAAUCAACUCCCAGAGUUUUAGAAGAGCCCCUUUGCAACCAGUCGCACCUUAUAAAUGUGUACAUUACCAUCGAUGCGGUCUUCUUCUUAAAGAUCCAUUUGCACCCAACUGUCUUACGACCUGGGGCCUGCCAUUGCCUCUUUCCAUUUAGCCCUUUGAUUGUCAAACGUGGACAAUAUCUCGCUGUCCAUUGCCUCUUUCCAUCUAGCAGACUCAGGGCCUGCCAUGGCUUCUGCGUAACUGUUAGGUUCAUCCAGACAUACCAAUGUCUCAUCACUGAUACGUGUCUCACCUUCCGUAGUAAUAUGGAAACCAUAAUAGAGCUCAGGUGCAUUCCUAACCCUUGUGGAACGCCUCAGAGGUACAGACUCGUCAAUUGGAUCAACUGGAGUUUCCUCCUCAGGUUGAGUGCUAGGGUUUUAAGUUCCUUCACCACUUGACUCUUGAAUUUCUUCAAGGUCAAUUUGCCUCCCACUGUUUCCUUGGCUUAUGAACUCUCUCUCUCUCUAGAAACACACCCCUUCUUGCAACAAAGAACACAUUCUCACUAAGUCUGUAGAAGAGGUAACCAAAGGAUUUUUGUGGGUUCAAGCUUAUCAUGAGUCUCGUGCCUCACGAAAGCCUCGCAACCCCAAAUAUUGAUGUGGUCUAGUUUCGGAACUUUACCAGUCCACAUCUCAUGAGGAGUUUUGGCAACUUUCUUAGUAGGGACCAGAUUAAGGAUAUGAGCGACAGUCUCUAAGGCAUACCCCCAAAAUGAGAUUGGUAGCGAAGCUCGACUCAUCAUGGAACGAACCAUAUCCAACAGGGUUUGAUGAUGCCUCUCAGCCACACCAUUCAACUGUGGUGUCAUGGGAGGUGUCAAUUGUGAGAUAAUCCCACAUUCCUUAAGAUAGUCGAGAAACUCUGUACUAAGAUACUCACCACCACGAUCGGAUCGAAGCAUCUUAAUGUUCCUACCCAAUUGAUUCUCGAAUUCCUGUUUAAACUCUUUAAACAUUUUUAAAGUCUCUGACUUAUGCUUGAUUAUUUAGACAUAUCCAUAUCUACUAUAAUCAUAAGAAAAAGUCAAAUAAUAACGAUUAGCAUCCCUUGUGGUAGAUUUGAAGGGUCCACACACAUCUGUGUGCACUAGAUCCAACAAACCUUCACCCCUAGCACAAGAACCAGUGAAUGACAAUUCACCAAUUUCCACCAUGAUCUAAGCUAUAACAUAUUUGAAAGGUAGGUGAAUGACAAUUCACCAAUUUCCACCAUGAAAAACGAAAUACAAAUAUUAGGUUUUAAUUGGUUCUUAGAAAUUCCUAGAUUCUUUUUGAGAUUCAAUGAACUUUUCAAAGGCAUGUUUCAAUCUCGAGUGUGCCCUCCAUGUUUUGUGACUGGGAUAACGAGGAUCACAAAAUAAGGUGUGAAGUAACCAUGUAAAUCACUUGGUACCCUUAAUGUUUAUCACGCAAUCGAUGUGCCGGUUAACCAUACGCGCUCCACCGACCUAUCAUAAACCUUAAGUCACCCUUUACCUACCUUGUUAAGUCGAUGUUAGUGUGCUGGUUAACCACACACGCUCCACUAAUGACUUAAACAAAGUGUAAAGUGUAAUUUCAGGGAUUAGAACCUUAUUCACAUUUUCCUAAAGUAACUAAGAUUGGGAAUUUAAUAAAACAUUUAGUUACUUUAUAAUAAUCAUUAUACUUUUAAUGAGAAUUUUAUAAGUCCUUGUCCUACACGUUCGGCUAACGACCCUCCACCGAUCAAGGAAGCGGUGGUGAGAGUGGACACCCAUUAAGCUGCCAUUUUAUAGGCAGUAACCUUAUACCCCUAAGUGUACAUGCAACCCUAGAAAACCUUGGAUCUAUGUUUGUCUAAAAUACAUGUAAAAUAUGAUUUCCAAGGUUCAUAAACCUAUCUAGCAUAUAUUGGGAACUUUUAGCAUAAAAGAUGGCUAGAAUUACAUACCUUGUAGUUGAUUUGAUUCCUUGAAAACCUUGAGAGCCUAGCACCCCAAGUGUAAUGCCUCAAAUGUUUCUCACAGCACCAAGUGCUUUGGAAUAACUUUGAGAGAAUGUAGAACACUUGCAAAAUCGUCUUGCCCUCUUUAUCUUGCUUCUAGUGCUGAUUUUGGUGAGCUUCAUAUCCUUUAUAUAGGGUGUUACAAUUAGGGCUACACCAUGUAAACCCUAAUGUAACAUGGCUCUUCAUUUCCAUGACCCAUGGGUUUUUGACUCCCAUGGAUGCUCCUAUGGACCUUAGCCCAACUUGAUAAUCCAUGGAGCAUCUAGCCCACUAUACAAGUAAUGGAUGAUUUACAUAAUCAACCCAUAUAUUUAGUUAGUCUUCUUUUGAUCACUUAAUUAAUUCCAAAUUAAUUCUUGAUCAAUAUUAAUUAAAUUAUACUAUUAAUAUAUUAGAACUUAUAAUAUAUUAAUAAUCCACAAGUGUUAUUUCUCUCAUUUUAGUUUAUCCAAAUGCAUGAUGUCAUGCAACCCAAAUGAACCAUGUCGGGUCGGGUCAAGUACAUACCAAAUAUAGUUAUGGACUUACACACCUUAUCCAACACGACGAACAACCAACCUUGAGGAAGGAGUUUGACAGACUAUAAUGGUUGAAAGUUUUAGAGAUUGAAGGAUGUUCUCAAGAUUCGUUGCAGAAACUUAGUACCUUAGAAACCCUAUAUCAACCCCAAAACAACAUAUACACUUUAAAAAUACUUAAAAAUCUGGGAUAACAUUCAUCUUUUCCUAGUUCGCGUAAACCCGAAGAAGAACAAAGAACCACUAACUCCGCUACCAUCGUAGCAGAGGAACCCAUAGUUCCGAAUCGAUCAUUCAGUAGUCUCCAAACUUCUCUGUGACAUCCCCAUUUUUACGGGCAGAAAAGACCAAUUUUCGUUUAUGCUUUAUAAAAAUCAGAGUACCUCUUUUAAUAAAAAUGUUGCAGAAUUUGUUCCCAGAAAAAUAUGUUGCGAAACUUGUUCCAAGAAAAAUAUGAUAAAUACUUUAUGAAAGCAUUUCUGAAGAAAUGUAUUUUUUAUUCCUUUUAAAUAAUUUGGGAUGUCAUCGUCAAUAUAAAAACAUAAGCAUAAACAAAACUUACAUUCAUUUUCACUAGUGAUUUAUAUCUCCUUAAUCUCUCAGUGUAACGUGACUUCAUAUCAACACCUGUGAUAUAAAUAAACUAAGUGGGUCAGGUUGGGAAAUAUGGUGAGUACAUAGGGUUUUCAACCCACAAUAAUAUAAUUAUUAUGUUUAAAAUCAACCAAUCAACCCAAUUACCCAUCCCCAUUAUCUUCUUAAGGAUUUACCCUAAGAAUCAACUACUUCUCGUUCAUUCAUUCCUAAGGAUCAUCCUAAGGAAACGACACAAAGUCCAUUGUUGCUAAUGACACAGUUGUCAAGCACAACUGCUAAUAUUAUCACUUAGGCGCAGCUGCCAGAAUUGUGACAUUCUCUAUGAGGCGCUUCUGCCGGUAUUGUCCUUUAAACGCUCCUGUCAUGGUUAUGAUGUUCUCUAAUAGGCACAACUACCGAUACUAUCCUUAGAGCGCAGCUUCUAUGAUUGUUAUCGUAGAUCUAAAACAUCUACGGAUUUUGGUGUAGUUGUCGGUGCUCAUCUAUAGGGUACUAGGUUCAUUGCUGCCAAUGUUCACCUAUAGGGCACUAGGUCCAUGUGACAUCCCCAUUUUCACGGCCAGAAAAGACCGAUUUGUUUAUGCUUUGUUUUAUAAAUCAGAGUGAUCGUUUAAAGAAAACGGUUGCGGAAUUUGUUCCCAAAAUAAAAUAUGAUAACCAUUUAUCAAAACGUUUCUCAAAGAGAAUGUAUUUUCAUUAAAUAAUAAAACCUCGGGAUGUCAUGUUCCGAUACAGACCAAAAGCAUAAACAAUAAUAAAUAGACCUUACAACAGUUAUUCAUAACUACUGGCCUAUAAUCCAAAAUCUCUCGUCAAGUCCACCAACUUAUACUCUUGUGCCAUUACCUGUAAUGCAAAGAAAACUGAGUGGGUCAGGCUUGGGAGCCUGGUGAGCAUAUAGGGUUUUCAACCCACAAUAAUACAAUUAUUAUAUUCAACCAUCAAACAAUCAACUCAAUUAUUCAUCCCUAUUAUGUUUCUUAGGAUUUUACCCUAGGAAUUCAACUACUCGUCAUUCCUUCAUUCCUAAGGAUUGACCUAAGGGAUUUACACAAACUCCCAUUGCUACAUAAGGCGCAUCUGCCAACAUUAUCCUUUAAGCGCCUCUGCCAGGAUUACGUCAUACACUAUGAGGCGCGAUUGCCAGGUUUAUGACAUUCUCUUUUAGGCGCAUCCGCCGACAUUAUCUUAUAAGCGCAUCUGCCAAGAUUACCCUAUAAACGCAUCCGCUAUUAUUAUGACAAUCUUUAUUUGGCGCAUCUGCCAACAAUAUCCUAUAAGCGCAUCUGCUAGGAUCACUCUAUAAGCGCAUCUGCUUUUAUUAUGACAAUCUCUAUUUGGCGCAUCUGCCGACAUUAUCCUAUAAGCGCAUCUGCUAGGAUUACGACAUUCACUACUUGGUGCAUCUACCGAUAUUAUUCUACAGCACAUCUGCUAGUCUUAUGACAUUCUUUAAUUGGUGCAUCUACCAAUAUCAUUCUUAAUCAUCUUUCAUACCUCAUCAUUUCAUCACAUACCAACUAUCUCAUCUACCCAUGUUCUACCCAACAUAUUUGUAGAUCUAGAAUACACAUACAGUUUAUCUCAUUUUAAAACUAUAUAAAACAUUCAUGCCAUACUCAUCUCAAAUAAACAACAAUAUAUAAACACAUAGCACGUAUUUUAUACCAAAUACUUCAUAUUUAUGUGUUAGAAGAAAGUAACCAUACACUCUGCCAAACGUACACUUAAUACAUUCAAACAAUACUUGUAUUAUACCCGUGUUUAUGAAAGGGACUAUACAUCCAUCCAUAUAAACAACUUUAUAUUAUCCACGUAGCACGUAUUUCAACGAAAAUACUUAAUAAUUAUGCGUUAGAAGAAAAUAACUACACAUUCACACUUAUAAACAACAAUACUCUUAAUACACUCAAACCAAACUCGUAUUAUUAUUGUGUUUAUGAAAGGUAGUAUACACUCACUUGAUCAGAAGAUGAUCGGACAGCACUACGACUUGCAGAAGUAGUAAUCCUCAGCAGAUCUGGAAGAUCUCUUCAAAAAUCGAACUUCUCGCGGGCAGAGCUUCGGCUCGGGAACCGCACUUCUCGGGAUCUUCGGGAUCUCGGGACUUGCUUCGGGGCUUGAGAACAAUACCGGGGCUUCGGGGUAUUUCUGGCACGCAAACCGAUGCAAAAUGGGAGAAAGAAGAGGAGAAAUUGGCAAAACUAUCGGCUGCCUUCGGAUUCCUUUUAUAGAGGCUGAGCCUCGCACGUACGCGGGGCGUACGCCAGUACGCGGGGCGUACUGGUCCGAAAAACGUCACUGCGUUCGUCAUCCGAAGCCACUUGCUGCGAUGUCGACACUUUCGGAGUACGCGGGGCGUACUCGAGUACGCGGCGCGUACCUCGGAUCAGACCGGUGACUCCUUCGGAUAAUGCUUCCGAAUUAAAGAUUAAAAAUAAAUACAAAUUAUUUAAUAAUCUUCGGAAAUUCAUAUCUUCUUCAUACGAACUCCGUUUUCGACGUUCUUUAUAUCCACGCGAAGGUGAGACUACGCUCUACAACUUUCGUUUAGACUCCGUCGGCUAAUUUUGACUUUAUUUUUAUUAAUUAUUUUUAAUAGGCCGCGACAUAAACUUUCGUUAUAAAUUCAUAACUUCUUCGUUUGACGUCCGUUCUCGCCUAACUUUUUAUCGCUUCGAUACCAACAAUGAGAUCUUCGAUUCUCAUUUAGAUUGCUUCGGCUAAAUACCGCUCUAACGUAAAUUCACUUUUUACGUUGCAUUGCGUCGUGCCGGUUCUGUCGCGAAACUUCGACGGGCCAUAACUUCUUCGUUAUAACUCGGAUUUUGGCGUUCUUUAUAUGCACGGAAACCUUGUGACAUAUACUACAACUUGGUUAAGAUUAAUCCUUCUAGAUAAUCUUCCAUCAAAAAGUCAUUUUUGACGCUUAUUGUUUCUAAAUUGACUAGCCCUGAUCUACGGGCGUUACAAUUAUCUCCCCCUUAGGAUGAUUACGUCCCGGAAUCAUCAACGAAAUAGGAUUCGCAUACUGACUCCAUAAGUUAUCUUUCCAUUCUAAGUAAUAACCUUGANCCUGAUCUACAGGCGUUACAGUCCAUACUACUAAUGUUCCUCUAUUUCAGCCUUCAUCCCUCAUCAUUCAUCUACCCAUGUUUUACCCAACAUAUUUUGUAGAUAUAAAAUACAUAUACAAUUUAAAUCAUUUAAAACAUGUAUAAAAUCGUUCAUCCAACAUAGACAACAAGUAUUCAGACAAUAUGCACAUAUAGCAUCUAAUUUAUAUAAAAUACUUCAUAUCUAUGUGUAAGAUGAAAGUAACUAUGCACUCACUUGAGAAGGUGGUGACUCUGCACUUGAACAACACUUCGUUAUUCUCAAAACAAUUUCCCUCGACAAAACCUAGUAUCAUUACCACUAGGGUUUAGUUUAAUAUUCACCGAGACUAAUUAAUAGUCUAGCUAUUAUUAGUAUUAUAUAAGCGCGACAUAAUACUUUUCACCUACUAUAUACAGACGAGGCCAGACAUCGAACACCGGAGGGCAGGAUCAUUUUGGCAUAUAAGCACUUCUGAAUCCAGCAACCUAAGCGACCCUAAAAACCGGAUCCCACGUACCGCGAGUGGUUAAAAAGAUAUUUUAACGACAUUAUAUAACCUAUAAUAAUAGUCCAAUUAAAUAUUCUAAGGACCUAAUAACAUUACUAUAAUUAUUUAAAAGCUAUAUAAAAAAAUUUCAUAGGCGUGACUCACUUACAAUGGGUUUUAAAGAAAACCGGGAUUUGCUCAGAGCAGCGUUUCUAAACCGAAAGACCCUUUUUCUCGGGGCUUCUUUCGGGUGCUAGGGGGUUUACCUAGGCUUUAGGGGGUUAGGGGCCAGAGAGAGAAUGUAGCGAGAGAAAGAGUGGUUGAAAAGGUGUGAGAAAUCGGCGGGCCUCGCAGCCCUUUUAUAGGCUGGAGGCUGCUGGCUACACACUGCGCUCCUUGGUUCUACGUGAGGCGUUCCUCGGUUACACUAAGCGUUCGUACAAAGACGUGUCCGAGGCUUGUAGGUGCGACGUGGGCCAUCCGAGUCCAAGCGAUUCCGAACGUGAGGCAUUCCUUGUACGCGCUGCGUAGCGAGGCCAGGUGUCUCCAUCCGAAGCGAUUCCGUGAUCAGCAAGCGACGACCCAGAUCGAGCCACGUCAUCACCACUCGUAAAUUUCACAAUUUUCCUUCCCGACUUCUAAAAUUCGUAACUUUUUCAUACGAUAUCCGUUUUCGACGUUCUUUAUAUCCACGCAUAGGUAAAAAUAAGAUCUGCAACUUUCAUUUUGACUCUGUCGGCUAAUUCUCGACCGAUCUUAAAUUUAACAGUACGAAGAGAUUAUAGUGUAAAAUGUCCGCAUAAAAUUCAUAACUUCUACAUAUGGACUCCGUUUUUGUCUGUCUUGUUACCAUUGAGUUCCUAUUAAUGAGAUCUUCAACUCUCAUUUAGGUUGCAUAGGCCAAAAACCGCUCGAUGUAAAAUUCGAGUUUCGGGUCGUACACUGCUAUGCCAAAUCUUAGAAAAUUCAUAACUUCCUCAUACGAAGUCAGAUUUGGGCAUUCUUUUUAUGGAUGUUCUCGGUUUAACUUUUUCUAUCACUUUGGUUUAGAUUACUAAGGCCAAAAAGUCUUCUAUCGUAAAUUCACUUUUUACGCUUCCCGGUUUCGCGCUGGUUCCGUCGCGAAACUUCGACGGGUCAUAACUUCUUCGUUAUAACUCGGAUUUCGGUGUUCUUUAUAUGUACGGAAACCUUGAGACAUAUUCUAAAACUUGGUUAAGACUAUUUAUUCUAAAUAAUAUUUUGCCGAAAAGUCAUUUUCGACACUUCUUGCCUCGAAAUUGACUAGUCCGGAUCUAUGGGCGUUACAUUCUCUCUUUAUCAUUUGAAAUCGGUAGAAUUUCAAUUCUCUCUCUAUAAUUUGGAACCUAACCAUAAAAGGAUCGGAGGUAACUGCUUACACCGUCUGAUUUCACGAUCCCACAAACCUUUGCUCGGGAAUGAUGAACCCGUAAUACAAAUAGACGGAAAGGUACAUCUAGGGAUUAGCUUCACCAUUUCAAGGUAUGGUCACUGCAUCCAGACGCACUACCAUUGACAGAUUAGUGUAUAUGUCAAGGUGCCAUGACCCUAUAAACAGAAAUGCACCAGGAUGAGAGUACAAAAAUGAAGUUCCAUGGCAAGUCAAAGGGGAACUUCGAGCAUCACAAACCGAGUCCAUAACCUUUGUCCAUGUACGUUGUAAUCAUAAACACUACUACUCAAUAAAAGCCCUAAUCUACGAAUUUACCUCACUAUACCAAGUGCAAUUUCCACCAUGUUGAAAAUUGCAUGGCAUGCAACCUCUAUAACUUGAGAGGUCACACCUCUAAGUUUUGUAGAAGAACCCGAAAAACACAACAUCAAUCCCUACUGCAGAUAGAAGCCAAAGUUGCUUUGAGUGCAAUCAACCAUGGAAUUUCAAGAAGGACUCCCCGAAACUAAAGAAUCAGGGUGAAAAGGAAGAACAUUUGUGAUAGGUGCUGGAGAUGCUCGCCAAGAACCACCCGUGGUUACUGAUAAAUUUCCUAUCAACAAUAAUUAUGCAUUCGUAUUAUUUGAUACUAGUACUGAUAGAAGAUUCAUUUCCCAGGUCAAAGCAGAGUACCAAAAAUCCAUUUAGUCUACCACAACAAUCGCCAAUCCUAGAACGAAAGUUGGAACAAAUAACCUUGUACUUCAUAACAGAGUUGUCAAUAACUUUAAGCGGAUACGACACAAUUCAGGUAGUUGUCGACUGUUUGACCAAUUCCACCCGUUUCCUAGCCCUUAAAUAAAAGAACAAGAUGGAGAAACUCAUUAGGACCAAACUCAAGGAGGUAAUCAAACUAAAUAUUGUGCUAAUAUCUACUGUCUUAGACGGAGAUAGUAAAUUCAGUUUCAUAUUCUGGCAAUCAUUGCAAAGAUUCCUAGGAACCAAACUUGAUGUAAGUAUUUCAUCUCAUCCUCAAGUGGAUUAUUAGAGUGAAAGAAUGAUACAAACUCUAGAGGAUAUGCUUCGUGCUUGAGUGAUGGAAUUUGGUAAUGCACGAGAUACUCACUUACCGCUAGUAGAGUUUUCAUAUAAUAAUAAUUAUGAAACUAACAUAAAGACCACUCCAUUUGAGACCUUGUACUGGUGCAGAUGACGUUCUUCGAUAUGCUGGGAAGAAAUUGGAGAUACUCAAUUAGCUAUAAAACAUGCUAGGGAUACUCUACACACUGGUCCAGAGAUCAUUCAUGAAACAACGAGAAAAGAUCAUUAAAAUAAAGGAACGACCAAGGACCGCACGCGGUCAUCAAAAAGCUAUGUUGACACAAGACGCAAAACCAUAGAAUUCAAAGUACGAGAUCGUGUCCUACUAAAGGUCGCACCAUGAAAAGGUGUCAUUCGAUUAGGAAAACGAGGUAAACUAAACCCCUAUUACACCGUACCUUUUCAAAUCCUGUCAAGAGUUGGUCCAGUGACUUACAAACUCAAUUUACCUCAAAAACUUAAUAAAGUUCAUGAUACCUUCCACGUGUUAAAUCUUAAAAAGUGUCUCUCUAAUGAGAACCUAGUCAUUCCUCUCGAUGGACUCUAGGUUAAAAAUAAACUUGACUUCGUGAAGGAACCGGUGGAGAUCGUGGAUCGAGAAAUUAAAAGCCUAAAACAAAGUCGCAUACCUAUAAUAAAUGCCUGAUGGAACUCUCGUAGAGAGCCCAAGUUAACUUGGGAACGUAAGAAUCGGAUGAAACAAAAACAUCCACAACUUUUCAGCAGUGCUCCCUCCACUAGGAGAACAAAAUGAUAGUGGAAAAAAAUAAUCUAGAACUAAUUAAUUUCGGGACGAAAUUCAUGUGACAUCCCGUAAUUUAGGUCAAAGACUAUGAACGAUCAAGUUCAUAGUAAAUCUUUUUGUAAUUUGACUCACUGAGUUUUAGUGUAUCUAAUAUAAUAUAAAUGAGUUAUUUCAACUAUUAUAAGAUACCAGAUUGUAUCUUACUUCAAAAUAUGUAAUUUGACAAACAAGUCAAACAGCUCAGACUGCAACCCAAAGAAUACGUCUGAAAAACUAAAAUUUCGUAUCAAGCAGUUGUGAGCAAAGAAAACAUUUUUGUCUCAAAGUAUACGUUUCCUUAUUUCCAAAAAUAUAAAGAACGUCCCGAACGGUGUUUGUAUACAAAAGAUACGACCGUUUUAAGAAUCCAAAACCAAUAUAAUACUGAUUCUUUUAAAAUAGCUAAAAAUUGUUUCCAUCCGUUGAGGGACUUGCACACCUCAAAUAGGAAUUCCGAAAGCAUUUUUGGACUCAGACUAUAGCUUAAUAUUUAAUUUCAUAUUUGAAAUAUUUUUAGUAAAAUAUUUAUAAAGUGGAAAAAUCAGACGUUUUCAGAUUUAUUAAUCGUGAAACCUUAAACUAUUGAUUUUGAUAUGAUUUCAAUUAUUGGCAAUAUAUUUUGGAAAUAAUAUAUUAUUAUCCAAUCCAGUUAUUACAACUCUUAACGUACAAAUAACGCAAAAUUUGUAAAAUCAUAUACAUCUAUAUAUACAUAUAUAUGUUGGGCACGUAUUUUUCAAAAUUUUAUUAUGUAUUUACUAUAAUUUUUAUAAAACCAUAUUGCAUAUGACAAAUAGUCAAUCAUGUAUUCACAAUGCAUAUAUGAUAUAUAAUUAAAAUUAUAUAACGACACUAAACAUAUAAAUAUUUACAUAUAAGUCAUAUAUUAUUUUUCCAAAUACCAAAUGCUAGUAGAUAUGAAAUAAUUUGAGCACUUCUUAUGUACAACUAUUCAAAUUUUUAUAUAUCUCAUAAACAUAUGUUAUAUAUUAUUCAAAUUUUUAUAUAUCUCAUAAACAUACGUUAUAUAUGUGUCAAUUUUUAAACAAAUGUUUUACAAAUUAAUAAAUUUCAAAUUGCCUAACAUACGAGUUUAAAUUUAUAUAAUACACAAAUAUAUAAACCAAUGUAAUUAACUAGUACAAUAAAUCAUAAUUAACUAGUACAAUAAAUCAAUACAUACCCAAAUUCAACUAAAUACAUAUGCAUUGAGUAAAUUGUACAGAUCAAUACACAAAGCUAUAAACAUAAAACACAAAAUAUAUAAAAACAAUCAAACAAAUUAUAUAAAAAUCAAACCAAUUAUAUAAGCACAAAGUUAAAAACUAAAUACAUACGCAUAGGAAAAAACUUUUGCUUCAAUUUACACCCAAAGAAAAUACAAAAUAUAUAAAAACAAUCAAAAAUCAAACCAAUUAUAUAAAAAUUACAGCCAAAAACCAUAAAAAUCAAACCAAUUAUAUAAAAAUUACAGCAAAAAACCAUAAGUUUACUUCCACAUAACAAAGCAUCCAAUUCUACACACAAUGGACAAUACUACACUCAAAGUCAAAAGAAAACGUGUUUCCUUUUCUCAAUUGAAGCUGUCACAGGAACAGCCCCUCACACCCUUCUCUUCUACGUUUCCUGUUAAUAAACCUCCAUAUUUCCUUUCAUCCUACAUCGACAAGAAUACUCUUGUUCUUGACUUCGGGUAUACCAGCAAACAGGAAUAACAACAACACGUUUUGUUUACUUUUCCUUCCCUGUCAAAUGAAACAAACCCAAAUUCCCUUCAUUAUCAUUGAUUUGCCAGCAAACCCAAACACCCCAAUGAUUUCUAUCAAACAAACAAACAAAAUCCCAAAAGUAUUUUUUUACCUGUGGUUGAUUCGGAACUGCCAAAACAAGGGGGAAACAUCGUGAUUUUCGAGCAAACACCCCCGAGAUCCUCACCUGCGACGAAUGGCUGCCGACCGGACUCCCAUCGGACCCCCUUUCCCCUCGUUUUCUUCCUCUGCUGUUCCCAUCGACCACAGAGAUCAGAUGGCCUCGUCUUCGCUACUACCGCUUCUUGCAACGCCCGGACCACACACCUCGCAUCCGGAAGCGACGGGCAAAACUUCGCUGCUUCUUCACGCCCUCCGUCUCUUCAGUCUCGUCGACCCGGAGACUACUCACUCUUCGCGAAUCGACCGACGAAGCACCGCCUGCGAGCUUCAUUCUCCUUCGGUCUUCUUUGUGGUCUGCGACGAGCAGGGACCGGAUGCAGAGCCGCGACCUCGUGCUUUCCUUCUCGCCAUUUUUGUUCAUCUGCCUUCGUGUUCAUUUUCCCUCUCGUCGCCUUCAUCCAUUCGUAUCUCCUUUUCUUUCAUUGCCCGAUCAAACGAAGAACACGGGGGAUUAAAAAGCCCUAUGUCAUUUUAAUUAGAAAAUGACCAAAAUGCCCUCCCUAUUAAACCAUGUAUUCAAAAACCGUCCCAACCCCAAACAAUGAACCCAUUUGUUUAAAACAACCCCUCAUUUGGUAAAAAAAUGUUACCAAAACAAUCCUAUUCGUUAAAUUAAACAACCAAACACCUCCUAUACUUUAGCGAAAUUACAAAAGAACUCAUAUAGUGUAAGUUUGUUACAAAACGGUCCCGAAAAUAUUUCAAAGUUCAAGAAUUAUGUAUUGUGUUUUCUCAUGUAAAGCUUCUCAAAGGAAACCGAAUUUAAACAAAUGUAACUCACGUUUCGAGGGUGAGCGCUUACGGCCCAUUUCUAAAACUUUAAUUAUUUCCACGGGGCGAAUUCUGAUCGCUUUUACGCGAGAAAGGGGGACCACCCUCUAAGCNGCAAACAUACAAUAUAUGAAGUUUAUAAAAAUGUUAUUUAUUAAUGUAUCACAUUUUUACAAAGAAGCUAGUAUAAACUUUUCGUAUACAUAUAAUGAAUUUUUUUAUCGUGAAAUAAUUAGUCCGCACGAUAAAUGUUACAUUAUACAAAAAUAUAUGAUUUUUAUGUGACAUUGUAUAGUAUGAUAAACACAUUAUAACACAUUGUACUAUUUCAAGGAUUCAAGCAAUUACUAUACAUGUAUAUUUAUAUGUUUAAAUGCAUAAAGUUUAUACAUGUACACAUGUUCAUUACUUUGAAACAUACAUCUUUUUAAAAGCAAUGACAUUACACUUUUACAUACAUAUAGACCUGACAAUGGGGUGGGUUUGGAGCUAAUCUACCUUGAUCCAAACGCUUUUAACAAAUUCCAAAACUCGAUUCAAACCCGCUCCAUAACCCGCAGAAUUUUGAAUAAUCAAACCCAUACCCUUAUCCACCGAAUCAACAAAUACCCAAACCCGCCCCAAACCCCAAAGUUUUUUUGAAUAAUCAAAUACGUUUUACUUAAAUCAUAAAAUCACAUUUGUUAAAUAAAACAAAAGUUGAUUUAGAAAGCACAUUAUGUACUCGAAAACUUUUGAUUGGAAUUAAUAUCAUUAUUGUAGUUACUUCCAAUUAGUUUUUGACCCUUUAUUGCAUUGAUAGAAAAUAACAAUUACAAACUUUCUUCCCGUUCAUAAAUAAAUUUAUUGAUUUAUAAAUGAAAUUGGUGAUUACAUGAUGAAAUAUAAAUGAAUGACAUCAUGAUUCUUGGGAGAAAAAUGAAAGUCUAGAAGUUGAGUCCCCGAGUCCUAUGUAUAAAUAGUUUAGUCUUUGGUCUUUCCUCUCUGGAAUUUAGAUUGAAAUUUAAAGUAAAAUUUAGGCAGUUUAAAAUAGAAAUGUAUAAUUUUAAAAUUUAUAUGGGGCGGGUUAUAAAUGGAGCGGAUCGUUGAUGAUCCAUACCCGACCCUUUUAAUAAAAGGGUUAGCGAGUACAAGUCGUUAACGAGUAAACGGAUCAAAAACUAUGCUCCAAACCCAUAUAAUUGUUAAGGGUUUGGAUCGGAUCAGGGUCAAAAGCCGCCCCAUUGCCAGCCAUACAUACAUACCAAGCAUACUCGACUUUUAUAAACUUAAUACAAUGAAACUCAUUAUGCUUAGUGACUUAAUCACAAUUAAGUUAGGACUGAGAGUUAUUCACAAACUUUUUAGUUAAGGACUUUUUAGUGAGAUGUUAUUCAUUAGCUGAGUCGAAACACUUAGCAUGCCCACAAUACUAUAACCAUUAAUCUUUGGAGCGAGAUACAUAUGUAUAGAUCUAUACGGGGUUGACAUCCCCACCAGCGAUUGCUAGCUACAACCUCGACCGAUCAAUCGAAGUGGGUGAUAAGUGUCUAUGAUCGUUACUGCAACGUCCAAUGAAGCGUUGUAGUGGAUACACUCAGUCACAUAACUCCGUUAUAGGACUCACUAUAAACAUUAAGUAGAAUAUAUAUAUAUAUAUAUAUAUAUAUAUAUAUAUAUAUAUAUAUAUAUAUAUAUAUAUAUAUAUAUAUAUAUAUAUCUCACNNNNNNNNNNNNNNNNNNNNNNNNNNNNNNNNNNNNNNNNNNNNNNNNNNNNNNNNNNNNNNNNNNCGGUGCGGUUAUUAGUUUUCAAAAACCGCAAAAAAAAACCGCACCGCACCACAUAUAUUAUAUACACUUUUUUUUAUUAAUUAUUAAUAUAUUAAAUAUUAAAAAUAAGAGAAGUUUCAUGAAUGAAAGAUGAAUAAAAUAUUAGAAGACAAAAAUAUGGUUUUGUUAUGUUUAACUUUAAAAAAUAAUGAAAUUAGAAAAUUUUAAUAAAUUUAUUGUUAAUUACUAUUGAUUUGACGUUUAUACGAUAUUAAUUGUUUGUGAUUUAAGUUAAUUGUCUCAUACAUUAUUAUUUUUAUUACAAGUAAUAUAUUUGAACUUUUAAAACUGUUUUAAUACUAAACUAUGGUUAAAAACCACACAAAAUAACCGCACUAGAAAAAACAAAACCGCACUGCAAAAAUAACCGCCUAAACGCACCGCAAAAAUAACCGCACCAAGCGGUUUUGAAUAUGGAUUAACCGCAUUUGUGGUUAGUGGUGAGGUUUUGGCUAAUAACUGCACCGAACCGCACCACGCUCACCUCUACUACCAACCAUGGGCUUGGGUGCUUUCAAAACUAUUUUAUGUAUGGAAUUACUUAUGUAACAUAACAUUUUGGUUUUAAAGGAUAUUAAAAGAUUCUUUACAAAUACGGUUUAAAAUAUGGAUUUACUUAUACAAAAAUACAUUUUGGCUUUUAAAGACUCAUUGCAAACAUUGUUUUUAACAAUUGAUAUACAUAUAGAGAAAAUACUUUUUAGACUUAUUAAAAGUAUUACUACUGUUAGCAGAAAACCAGUAACACUCACCAACCUAUCUGUUAAAGCAAUUCAUGGAUUGUUGUUAUUUGUAAAAACCUUGUAUUCAAAUAUCAAGAUGGAACACGAAUGCUAUAUUGUUUAUUGUUGUACUUGUACUAUAAAACCCAACAACGAUAAUAUAUAAGAUUUAUAUAUACUCUAACCCGCGAUGCGAACACUUAAUAAAACUCAAACAUGCAUCCAACUAAAACUACCAAGUCAAUACUUUAGGUCCAACGCCUCAAUUAAGGUUAGUACCGUACAUAAGCCAUAUCAUAAAUAAACCUGGAACUUAGUACCUUAGAAACCGUAUAUCAACCCCAAAACAACAUAUACACUUUAAAAAUACUUAAAAAUCCGGGAUAACAUUCAUAUUUUCCUAGUUCAAAUAAACCCGAAGAAGAACAAAGAACCACUAGCUCCGCUACCAUCGUAGCAGAGAAACCCCUAGUUCCUAAUCGAUCAUUCAGUAGUCUCCAAACUUCUCUCUCUAUCAUUUGAAAUCGGUAGAAUUUCAAUUCUCUCUCUACAAUUUGGAACCUAACCAUAAAAGGAUCGGAGGUGACUGCUUACACCGUCCGAUUUAACGACCUCAUAAACCUUUGCCCAGGAAUGAUGAACCCGUAAUAGAAAUAGACGGAAAGGUACAUCCAGGGAUUAGCUUCACCAUUUGAAGGUCUGGUCACGGCAUCCAGACCCACUACCAUUGACAGAUCAAUGUAUAUGUCAGGGUACCAUGACCCCACAAAUAGAAAAGCACCAGGAUAAGAGUACAAAAAUGCAGUUCCAUGGCAAGUUAAAGGGGAACUUCGAGCCUCACAAACCCAAUCUAGAACCUGUGUCCAUGUACGUUGUAAUCAUAAACACCCCUACUCAAUAAAAGCCUUACUCUAUGACUUUACCUCACUAUACCAAGUGUAAUUUCCACCAUGUCGAAAAUUGCAUGGCAUGUAACAUCUAUAAUUUGAGAGGUCACACCUCUAAGUUUUGUAGAAGAACCCGAAAAAUACAACCUCAGCCCCUACUACAAAUAGAAGUUGUGACAUCCCCAUUUUCACGACCAUAAAAGACCGAUUUUGUUUAUGAUUGUUUGAAAAUCAGAGUAACAUUUUAAAUAAAAGUGUUGCGGAAUUUGUCCCAAUACAAAAAUAUGAUAAAGAUUUAUCAAAAGUAUUUCCAUAGAAAUGUAUUUCAUUAAAAGACUUGGGAUGUCAUGUUCGAUACAGAUCAUAAGCAUAAACAAUACAACAUAAGCCUUACUACAUUAUUAAGUAUUUACAGGCCUAUAAUCCCUUAUCUCUCAUCCAAACAUCUAUGCUCAUGCGCCACUACCUGUAAUACAAGAAACUGAGUGGGUCAGGCUUAGGAGCCUGGUGAGCAGAUAGGGUUUUCAACCCACAAUAAAUAUGUUUAUUAACUUUAUCAAACCAAACAAACCCGAUUACCCGUUCCCGUUAUCCUCACUUUACGUCCCUGAAAAAUCUAACGUAAGGGACCUAGUAUAAGGACUUUCAUCGGGGUGACAACACAUGCUUCAGGGAUUCCUCAGCAAUUCAUCUCAAAUAAGGCAACCAUGUGGGGGAUGGAGUAUUGUUGGUAAACACACAAUUCAAAUAAACAUCUACAGGUUGCGAGCCUGCUAGCGUUCUACUAGACUGUCUAGAAUAGUCCGUGGUCAUCAUCUAUACUCCGCUAGAUGACUGGAUCAUCAAUAACAUCUAUAACGAGGCCUCUCAUUAUUUUAUUUUGUCACACAACAACUAUUACAUCUACCCAUGUUUUACCCAAUACAUUUUGUAGAUAUAAAAUACAUAUACAGUUUAAAUCAUUUAAAACAUGUAUAAAAUCGUUCAUCCAGCAUAGAUAACAAGUAUACAAAUAAUAUGAACCUACAAGAUGUAAUCUAUAUAAAAUACUUCAUAUUUAUGUGUAAGUUGAAAGUAACUAUGCACUCACCUGUUAAGAUGGUGAUUCCAAACUUAGACAGCGCUUCGUUACUCUUGAAACAAUUUCCUUCGUCAACACCUACUUUCAUUACUACUAGGGUUUAGUCUAACGUUAACUGCGAUUAAUCAAUAGUCUAACUAUUAUUACUAUUAUAUAAGCGCGGCAUAAUACUUUUCACCCACUAUAUACUGACGUGGCCAGACAUGGAACACCGGAGGGCAGGAUCAUUUUGGCAUAUAAGCACUUCUGAAUCCAGCAACCCAAGCGGCCCUCCAAACUGGAACCCCGUACCGCGAGUGUUUAAAAAGAUAUUAUAACGGCAUUAUAUAACCCAUAAUAUUAGCCCAAUUAAACAUUCUAAGGACCUAAUAACAUUACUAUAAUUAUUUAAAAGCUAUAUAAAAAAUUUCAUAGGUGUAGCUCACUUAUAGCGGGUUUUAAGGAAAAUUGGGCUUUGCUCGGAGCAGCGUUUCCCAACCGAAAGACCCUUUUUCUCGGGACUCUGGGAGCCUCGGGGCUUCUUUCGUGUGCUAGGGGUUCACCUAGGCUUUAGGGGUUUAGAAACCCUAUAGAGAGAAAGUUUUUCGAGUGAGAAGUGAAAAAUGUGUGGGAAGCUCGGAACAUUUCGUAGCUAUUUAUAGGUUUCCGCUCAUCAGACUACGCUAGGUGUAGCCUUCGGUUAUGCUGGGCGUAACUCCGGAUAGGGUUGCCAAGUUUGCACCAAAUGACUCGCACAUCAUAUGGGAUAAGGACCAAAGUGUGACAUCCCAAUUUUCACGGCCAGAAAAAACUGAUUUUGUUUAUGCUUUAUAAAAAAUCAGAGUACUUCUUUUAAUAAAAAUGUUACGGAAUUUGUUCCCAGAAAAACAUGAUAAAUACGUUAUUAAAACAUUUUUGAAGAAACGUAUUUAUUUCAUUUUAAAACGUUUGGGAUGUCAUCGUUAAUAUAGAAACAUAAGCAUAAACAGAACUUACAAUUAUUUACACUAGUGAUCUACAUCUCUUUAAAUCUCUCAGUGUAAUGUCACUUCAUAUCGAUAUAAAUAAACUGAGUGGGUCAGGUUGGGAAACCUGGUGAGUACAUAGGGUUUUCAACCCACAAUAAUAUAAUUAUUAUGUUUAAUCAUCAAACAGUUAACCCAAUUACCCAUCCCCGUUAUCUUCUUUAUUCUUAAGGAUCUACCCUAAGAAUCAGCUAUUUCUUGUUCAUUCAUUCCUAAGGAGUAUCCUAAGGAAUAGGUAUGAAUUCCAUCGUUGUAAAUGACACAUCUGUCAAGCACAAUAUGCUAGUUCUGUCACUAGGGAGCAACUACCAAAAUUGUGAUAUUCUCUAUGGGGUGCAUCUGCCGAAAUAGUCCUUUAGGCGCAUCUGCCGGGGUUAUGAGGUUCUCUAUUAGGCGCUUCUGCCGGUAGAGUCCUUUAGACGCUUCUGCCGGGUUUUAUUGACAGUAUCAUUUUCGAGAGUCCAUUCGCAAUACAUAUCAAUGGGUUUUUAGAGUACACCAGGGAACACGUCGUUCACAACACUUACAGGUUGCGAGUCUGCUAGUGUUCCACUGGACUAUCUAGAAUAGUUCGUGGUUGUCAUCCAUACUCUGCUGAAUGACGGGGCCAUCAUUUGGGAAAAAGGCUUCUCACAUCGUCCACCUCUCACCCUCACCUCACGGUCUAUUUUACCUCUCAACUCAUCAUCCAACUCAUAUUUCAUCUAUUACAUCUACCCAUGUCUUACCCCAACAUUUUCGUAGAUAUAAAAUAUAUAUACAGUUUAAAUCAUUUAAAACAUGUAUAAAAUCGUUCACCGAGCAUAGACAGCAAGUAAACAGACAAUAUGCACACAUAGCACGUAGUAAAUACUUCAUAUCUAUGUGUAAGUUGAAGGGGACCAUGCACUCACCUGAAAGGUGAUGACUCAGCACUCGGACAGCGCUUCGAUACUCUCAAAACGAUUUUCCUUCGAUAAAACCUAGUACCAAUACCACUAGGGUUUAGUCUAACGAUAACCGCGACAAAUUAAUUAGUCUGACUAUUAUUAAGCGUUAAUAACACCCAAUAUAACUCAUAAAAAUAGCCCAAAUAAUUAUUUUAAGGACCUAAUAACAUUCCUAUAAUUAUUUGAAAGCUAUAUUAAAAAUUGCGUAAGCGUAGCACACUUACAGCGAAUUUUAUCGAAAACCGGAACUUAAUUGGAGCAGCGUUUCGAAACCGAAAGACUCUUUUUUCUCGGGACUCCGGGAGCCUCGGGGCUUCCCUAGGGUGCUAGGGGUUUAACUAGGGCUUAGGGGAGGUUUGGAACUCUAGAGAGAGGAAGAAACUAGAGAGAGAAGUGGAAAUUGUGUGAAAAAUGUGAAGGCCCUCGCCCCUUUUUAUACCCUGCGANGCUCCUCGGACGUACGCUGGGCGUACAGGUCCUCGGACGCGGGGCAUAACUUCGGAUAAGGGUGCCAAAUGGCGAGACCUCGGUGGGGCGACGUCGCUUCUUCUCGGACCAAGCAAAUUGACUACGUGCGGCAUUCCCUCUUCGCACGCUAGGCGUACCUCGUACGCGAGGCGCUCCUCGGCUAUGCUGGGCGUAACACUCGCACCAGGUGUCAUCAUCCGAAGCGAGACCGUGCUCAGCAAGCGACGACUGAGAUUUGGCCACGUCAGCAACUUCGCAAUCAGCUUCACAAAUUCAAGUGCAAACUUUAAAAAUUCGUAACUUUCGUGUACAAGCUCCGUUUUCGACAUUCUUUAUAUCCACGCGAAGGUGGGAACAUACUCUACAACUUUAGUUUAGACUUUGUUGGCUAAUUUUGACUCGAUUUUAAAUUUUAUAUUAUUAACAGGUCGGGACAGGAUUGGUCCGUUAAAUCCUCAUAACUUCUUCAUCCGACGUCCGUUUUCGCCCAUCUUUUUCUCGUUACGCUACUCUUAACGAGAUCUUCGAUUCUUGUUUAGGUCGUGUUGGCUAAAAACCGCUCGAUCUAAUAUUCGAAUUUCGGGAUGUACACUGCUAGUCCGAAACUUCGAAAAAUCAUAACUUCUUCAUACGAAGUCAGAUUUGGGCGUUCUUUUUAUCGAUGUUCUUAGUUUAACAUAUUCUACGACUUUUGUUUAGAUCGCUAAGGCUAAAUCUCGCUCUAUCGUAAAUUCACUAUUUACGCUUCCCGGUGCCGUGCCGGUUCCGUCGCGAAACUUCGACGGGUCAUAACUUCUUCGUUAUAACUCGGAUUUCGGCGUUCUUUAUAUGUACGAAAACCUUGUGACAUAUUCUACAACUUGGUUAAGAUUAUUUAUUCUAAAUAAUCUUUUUGUCAAAAAGUCGUUUUCGACCCCUAUUGCCUUUAAAUUGACUAGCCCGGAUCUGCGGGCGUUACACAAAGUACGCUGGGCAUACCCGGCCUCAGACGCGGGGCAUAGCGAAGGCAAAGUGUCUUCAUCCAAAGGCUAUCUGCGAUCAGCAAUAGAUGGUUGGAAAUGUGCCACUUCAGCACUUCUAUCAUCAGCUUCGCAAAUUCAAGUGAAAUCUUUAAAAAUUCGUAACUCUCGCGUACGAGCUCCGUUUUUUAUGUUCUUUAUAUCCACAUGUAGGCGAGAACGUACUCUACAACUUUUGUUUAGACUCCGUCUGCUAGUUCUGAAUUUAUUUAAAAAGUUAUAUUAUUAACAGGCCGGGACAUGAUUGGUCCGUUAAGAUUCCAAGUUUCUUCAUCCAACGUCCGUUUUCGUCUGUCUUUUUAUCGUUACGCUAUUUUUAACGACAUCUUCGAUUCUCGUUCAGGUUGUGUCGGCUAAAAACUGCUCGAUCUAAUAUUCGAACUUCGGGUUAUAUACCGCUAAGCCGAAACUUCAAAAAAUCAUCACUUCCUCAUACGAAGUCAGAUUUGGGCGUUCUUUUUAUGGAUGAUCUCGGUUUAACAUAUUCUAUGACUUUUGUUUAUAUCGCUAAGGCUAAAAGUCGCUCUAUCAUAAAUUUACUACUUACGCUUCCCGGUGUCGCGCCGGUUCCGUCGCGAAACUUCGACGGGUCAUAACUUCUUCAUUAUAACUCAGAUUUCGGCGUUCUUUAUAUCCCCGGAAUCCUUGUUUCGACCACUACAACUUUAUGUAAAGAUAUCAGGCUUAUAUCACACUUUAAUUUUGACGCUCAUCGUCUCUAAAUUGACUAGCCCGUAUCUGCGGGCGUUACAGAAACCAAAGUUGCUUCGAGUGCAAUCAACCAUGGAAUUUCAAGAAGGACUCCCCAAACCUAAAGAAUCAGGGUGACAAGGAAAAAAAUGUGUGAUAGUUGUUAGAGAUGCUCGCCAAAAACCAACUGUGGUUACUGAUAAGUUUGCUAUCAACAAUAAUUAUACAUCCGAAUUAUUUGAUACUAGUACCGAUAAAAGCUUCAUUUUCCCAUGAGUUUGGAAACAUGAUUUAGCAUAAAUCAUGAAAACUUAACGAAAAUUACACAGUAGAAGUAGCAAAAUCAAGUUAGAAAGCACCUUAGAUAUACUCAUUAAUUGCAUUCUCACCCUGAAUAACCACAUCUUUCACGACAAUUUAAUACCUAUGACCAUUGGAAGUUUUGAUGUGAUCAUCAAAAUGGACUGAUUAUCACUUCAUCGAGUAGAGAUUUUAUGUUACAAAAAGUCUGUUCGAUUACCUUUAACCAACAACAAAACUCAUGUGAUUUACAGACAUAAGUGUGUGAAGAACCUAAGAACCAUAUCCUGCAUGAAGGCAAAGAGGUGGUUGCAGAAGAGAUGCUUCACUUUCUUGGCCCACGUGGUGGAUAUGCAAGACAAACUUAUCGAAAUCAAAUACAUACUACAAGUGUGAGAUUACUCGGACAUAUUUCUAGAAGAUCUACCGGGAGUACCUCUAGUCAGACAGGUUGAAUUUCGAAUCGACCUAAUCCCAUGUGCAACACGAGUGGCAAGAUCUCCUUAUCGUCUGGCUCCAUCGGAAAUGCAAGAACUGUAUAGUCAUCUUUAAGAACUUCUUGACAAAGUCCUUAUCCGACCAAGCUUCUCUCUGUUGGGAACUUUGGUAUUGUUUUUCAGAGAGAAGGAUGGAUCAUUCAGGAUGUGCAUCGACUAACGGGAGUUGAACAAAUUCGCCAUCAAAAACCAAUAUUCACUCCCGAGGAUCGAUGACAUGUUCGACCAACUACAUGGAUCCCGUUACUACUCAUAGAUCGAUCUAAGACCCGGCUAUUAACAACUCAGAAUCAAAGAAGCAGACCCUCCUAAGACAACAUUAAAGACUCGGUACAGUCACUACUAGUUUCUAGUUAUGCCAUUCGGACUAACCAAAGACGCCAACCGAAGUACGCAAAUUCCUAGGUCUUGUAGACUAUUAGCAGAAAUUCAUCAAGAACUUAUCCCAGAUAGCCAAGCCUCUCACUGCUCUAACCUAGAAAGACAAUGAUUUUGAUUAGGGAGACAACAGGAGUCUGCCUUCAAGAAAUGGAAACAAGUGUUGUGCAGUGCACCAAUUGUGUCUCUUCUAAAGGGAACAUAAGAUAUUGUAGUAUUCUGCAACGCCUCACACGAAGGGUUAGGAUACAUACUGAUGCAAAGGAAUAAAAUCAUUGAACACGCAUCCAAACAACUUAUCCUAAACAAGACCGACUACAUUACUAAUGAUUUAGAGUUGGGAGUUGUAGUGAUUUCCUUACAGAUUUAGAGGUACUACCUCUACGGGGAGAAGUGUGUCGUGUUCACCGAUCACAAAAGCCUUCAACACAUCUUCAACCAGAAGGAGCUCAACAGGAGACAACGAAUGUGUGUCGAAUUGCUAAAUGAUUAGGAAUGUGAAAGUAAGAAUCAGAUGAAACAAAAACAUCCACAACUUUUCAACAGUGUUCCCUCCACUAGUAGAACAAAAUGAUAGUGGAACAAAAUAAUCUAGAGCUAAAUAAUUUCGGGACGAAAUUCCCUUAACGGGGAGGUAAUGUGACAUCCCAUAAUUUAGGUCAAAGACUAUGAACGGUCAAGUUCAUAGUAAAUCUUUUUGUAAUUUGACUCAAUGAGCUUUAAUGUAUCUAAUAUAAAAUAAAUGAGUUAUUUCAACUAUUAUAAGAUACCAGAUUGUAUCUUACUUCCAAAUAUGUAAUUUGACAAACAACUCAAACUGCAACCCUAAGAAUAUGUCUGAACAACUAAAAUUUCAAAUUAAGCAGUUGUGAGCAAAGAAAACAUUCUAGUCUCAAAGUAUAUGUUUCCCUAUUUCCAAAAAUAUAAAGAACGUCCCAAACGGUGUUCGUAUACAAAAGAUACGACCGUUUUAAAAAUCCAAAACCAAUAUAAUACUGAUUCUCUUAAAAUCGCUAAACACUGUUUCCAUCCGUUGAGGGACUUGCACACCUCAAAUGGGAAUUCCGAAAGCAUUUUUGGACUCAGACUAUAGCUUAAUAUUUAAUUUCAUAUUUGAAAUAUUUUUAGUAAAAUAUUUAUAAAGUGGAAAAAUCAGACGUUUUCAGAUUUAUUAAUCACGAAACCUUAAACUAUUGAUUUCGAUAUGAUUUCAAUUAUUGGCAAUAUAUUCUGGAAAUGAUAUAUUAUUAUCCAAUCCGGUUAUUACAAGUCUUAACGUAGAGAUAACCCAAAAUUUCUAAGAUCAUGUACAUCUAUAUAUACAUAUAUAUGUGGGGAACGUAUUUUUCAAAAAUCUAUUAUGUGUUUGCUAUAAUUUUUAUAACACCAUAUUGCAUAUGACAAAUAGCCGAUCAUGUAAUCACAAUGCAUAUAUGAUACAUAAUUAAAAUUAUAUAACGACAAAAAAUAUACAAAUUUUUAUAUAUAAGUCAUAUAUGAUUUUUCCAAAUACCAAAUGCUAGUAUAUAUGAAAAAAUUUGAACACUUAUUGUGUACAAAUAUAAAUUUUUUUAUAUAUCACAUAAACAUACGUUAUAUACAAAUGUUUAACAAAUUAAUAAAUAUUACAUUUCCUAACACAUGAUUUUAAAUUUAUAUAAUACACAAAUAUAUAAACUACUGUAAUUAACUAGUACAGUAAAUUAAUACAUACCCAAAUUCAACUAAAUACAUAGGCAUUGAGUCCAUUAUACAAAUCAAUGCACAAAGUUAUAUUCAUAAAACACAAAAUAUAUAAAAACAAUCAAACCAAUUAUAUAAGCACAAAGUUAUAAACUAAAUACAUAUGCAUAAGAAAAAACUUUUGCUUACUUUUGCUUCAAUUUACACCCAAAGAAAACACAAAAUAUAUAAAAACAAUCAAAAAUCAAACCAGUUAUAUAAAAAUUACAGCAAAAAACCAUAAAAAUCAAACCAAUUAUAUAAAAAUUGCAGCCAAAAACCAUAAGUUUUACUUCCACAUAACAAAGCAUCCAAUUCUACACACAAUGGACAAUACUACACUCAAAGUCAAAAGAAAACGUGUUUCCUUUUCUCAAUUGAAGCUGUCACAGGAACAGCCCCUCAUACCCUUCUCUUCUACGUUUCCUGUUAAUAAACCUCCAUAUUUCCUUUCAUCCUACAUCGACAAGAAUACUCUUGUUCUUGACUUCGGGUAUACCAGCAAACAGGAAUAACAACAACACGUUUUGUUUACUUUUCCUUCCCUGUCAAAUGAAACAAACCCAAAUUCCCUUCAUUAUCAUUGAUUUGCCAGCAAACCCAAACACCCCAAUGAUUUCUAUCAAACAAACAAACAAAAUCCCAAAAGUAUUUUUUUACCUAUGGUUGAUUCGGAACUGCCAAAACAAGGGGGAAACAUCGUGAUUUUCGAGCAAACACCCCCGAGAUCCUCACCUGCGACGAAUGGCUGCCGACCGGACUCCCAUCGGACCCCCUUUCCCCUCGUUUUCUUCCUCUGCUGUUCCCAUCGACCACAGAGAUCAGAUGGCCUCGUCUUCGCUACUACCGCUUCUUGCAACGCCCGGACCUUACACCUCGCAUCCGGAAGCGACGAGCAAAACUUCGCUGCUUCUUCACGCCCUCCGUCUCUUCAGUCUCGUCGACCCGGAGACUACUCCCUCUUCGCGAAUCGAUCGACGAAGCGCCGCCUGCGAGCUUCAUUCUCCUUCGGUCUUCUCUGUGGUCUGCGACGAGCAAGGACCGGAUGCAGAGCCGCGACCUCGUGCUUUCCUUCUCGCCAUUUUUGUUCAUCUGCCUUCGUGUUCAUUUUCCCUCUCGUCGCCUUCAUCCAUUCGUAUCUCCUUUUCUUUCAUUGCCCGAUCAAACGAAGAACACGGGGGAUUAAAAAGCCCUAAGUCAUUUUAAUUAGAAAAUGACCAAAAUGCCCUCCCUAUUAAACCAUGUAUUCAAAAUCCGUCCCAACCCCAAACAAUGAACCCGUUUGUUUAAAACAACCCCUCAUUUGGAAUUUUUUUACCAAAACAAUCCUAUUCGUUAAAUUCAACUACCAAACACCUCCUAUAGUUUAGCGAAAUUACAAAACAACCCAUAUAGUGUAAGUUUGCUACAAAACGGUCCCGAGAGUAUUUCAAAGUUCAAGAAUUAUGUAUUGUGUUUUCUCAUGUAAAGCUUCUCAAAGGAAACCG